GCCUUUUUAGGCGCAGUAUAACUUUAAGCAUAGAAAAUUGGAAAACAGAUAUUUAACCCAUAUAUAUUGUUGAGAAUUUUUCAUAAUUUAGAUGUCAAAGAAAGAUGUACACAGGAAUACAAUUUUGUUGUCAAAGUAGCAUGCCAAACGUACAUUUUCAUUACAUCAUACAUAAAAACAGCAAUAAAAAGUUAAAAAUAUGCCAUAUGGCUCAGAUCACAUAACACAGGACAUCCAGGUUCAAAUGAUCCCAGCAACGAAAAAACAUCACCAGCACAGCAUACUAUUUGCACAUUCAAAGAGAACAAACUAUAUGUCAAAAGAGAACAAGGCAGAAAAUAGCCACUAAAAUAAAGGAGAUAGUAUACUCGGUAAUUAGUACAGAUUUGCUCACUGGACACACACACAUUUGGCAUAUACUUUUGAAAAGAAGUGCAGAUUCAAGUAAACUGUAGAGUUAUAUCAAGACUAAGAUACCUGUUGGUAAACAACAACAGGAAAACUCAGAUAGAAACUAAUAAACCUAGAUAGAAAGUAACAAACUUGUACCCUUGAUACAGACCAGUAAUUAACCCAAAUAAUCAGUACAUUCUAACAUGUUAAGUGGCUACCAUUCCAAUCAUAAUUGUACCAUGCCAUAGGAAAAAAAUCUGUGACAUGACUGCUACAAAUUAAACUGAUGCUCUUCUACUACUAGACCAUUCAAGCUCAUGGUCAGGAUCAACAAUACUAAUAACCUGUAGGUACAAUGGUACAGUAGCAAGCAAAUAGUGCAAUAAUCCCACCACAACGCAUGAAGAAAAACACUAUCGUACUGCCACUAUCAUCCCUUCAACUGACAACAUCUAUUUCAUGGAGGGAGGGAAGGGACUACAUAGGCUAGUACUAGUUAAUGAUGGCGUCGACGAUGAUAUGUAUGAGGUUGGCGUCGGUGAGCAGGGAUCCACCUCCCGUCAGUUCCAUCCAUGUUCCGGUGAGGCAUUUUCCUCAUAACCAGGUUGUAUCACCAUGAAAACAGAACAGAGUCAGCGAACAGUAAGAACCUCCUCACGAUCGACCAGAAGAAGAACAAGAUAAAUCUGGUCAAAUGCAUGACUUUUGACUUUUGUUCACCUUACAUACUAGAACAAGAACAGUAAGAACCAGAACCUAAUUGUAUAAACACACACAAAAUAAACCUUUACCUCUUGACUCUAGAGAUUAUCAAACUUCUACUCUGCAGUUGUCGUUCUAUCCACCUCUGCAUGCAUCCAUUCCUCCAGCUCUAAGCAACUUCCAAGACACAGUAGCCGCUGGAACAUGCACACAAACAAACACAACAAACAAAUUAAUCGAGAUUUUGCAUAAGCCAGAGUCAAGCACAAGUUAUUCAAGGGCAAACGGUGUGAAGAGCUUGAUGAUUAUAUUUGACAUAGGCAGUUACACGGGAGAGUCAGUCACAUGUACAAAUUUUAGCUUUUUCUACCCUUGGCGCAGUGGUAAAGCUGCUGCCUUGUGACCAUGAGGUCACGGGUUCAAGUCCUGGAAACAGCCUCUUACAGAAAUGUAGGGAAAGGCUGCGUACAAUAGACCCAAAGUGGUCGGACCCUUCCCCAGACCCUGCGCAAGCGGANNNNNNNNNNNNNNNNNNNNNNNNNNNNNNNNNNNNNNNNNNNNNNNNNNNNNNNNNNNNNNNNNNNNNNNNNNNNNNNNNNNNNNNNNNNNNNNNNNNNNNNNNNNNNNNNNNNNNNNNNNNNNNNNNNNNNNNNNNNNNNNNNNNNNNNNNNNNNNNNNNNNNNNNNNNNNNNNNNNNNNNNNNNNNNNNNNNNNNNNNNNNNNNNNNNNNNNNNNNNNNNNNNNNNNNNNNNNNNNNNNNNNNNNNNNNNNNNNNNNNNNNNNNNNNNNNNNNNNNNNNNNNNNNNNNNNNNNNGAACAAAAAAGAGAACAUAGCGCCGCGACUUGUUGAGGACAGAAAUAGUAACGUUUGAUACAUAAAUUAGUAAUGUGAGGCUCAGUAAGGUCCUAUCUUAGUGCUAUGGGGAUUAAGAGCAUGCACACAAAAAGCUAAUUGGCAGACAAAACUUACUGGUCAUAGUUCCCAACACAGAUCAAACUGGCAAAUAAUAAUGUUUGUUAAAGCAAUUAACAGGGCAGUAGCUCAACCUAAAGAAAGGCAGCAAAACUUAUAUGAAAGAAACUGAGUUGCAAGUGUAUAAAGAGUGAUUGAUGAUCCAUUCCAGAGACAUGGUAGUUUCUUCUAACAUAUUGUAUUAUCAAGUAAACUCUUAAAAGAAAGAUGCCCCAGUAAGUACGCUGAAUGGAAGACAAAGUGAAUAGUGAAACAAGUUGAUAGUUGUACACUAUAGUGUUUACGCACAGUGGAACUGAAUGAAUUUCAGAUUAUGUUGCAUGCAAGAACAGGAGCGGCAGUGCGCUCUAGCUAGUAGUACAUCAGGAUAAGAGCACGUGGAGUGACAACAAGAGCAACAGGGUGUACUGUACUGGAAUCUAGAUCCGCUCGAGUAAAAUAAUAGCAAACCAUAUAGAGCGUCAGUUUAGGCGGUUGCAGACUUGGAGUGCGCUGAGUUUCACUAUUCAGUUGUGAUAGUUUUACACUUUCAGUCAACACUGUAGAGAAAAUGCAGUUCAGCAUGUUCUGAAUAUCUUCACCAAGCUCCGUUUUUUACAGUACUUACAGAGUUUACUGGUUGCAGAGUCAUCUGUGCAUAGACCUCGUCAGUGUCCUUGUCAGCCUGUGCAAAACAAGCAGCAUUCAUUAGGAUUAAUUCAUGGAGUAAGAAGAAAUACAGAGACAGCAUCAUCAUCUGAUGAUGCGGUAACCAAUCAACGGCUUUGUUCGUCCAGAUCACAGGUGGCGUGACAGAAGAAGGGACUACCUCGACAUCCUCGACGGUGGCACGGAGGUCGGGCGAGUCCUUGACGGCCUUGAUGUGGCCUAUGACGUUCAGCCUGUCGAUGAUGCGCUCGAGCAUGUGGACCAAGCGCUCCCACGCAGGCUCCACGCCCUUCUCAAGCUCCUCCAGCUCGCCCUCCUGCAUACAGAGAAACUUCAGAUGAGCUAGACUGAAACUCAACUUGUCAAUUGCCACCUACAUAAAAUAGUCAAGACUAGAGUCUAACUCAAAUCAGGUAUGCAUUCUUUGGACGUUAAAUGCAAGCUUUAUAUAUAUAUAUAUAUAUAUAUAUAUAUAUAUAUAUAUAUAUAUAUAUAUAUGGCUAUAAUGUAUGAUGCGAACCAACCAAAGUUUUCAUCUCCAUUCUGAACAAAUUAGACUGCAAUGGAGUUGCUUAAUACUUAUAGCAUGAUUGGUUUUCCGUUCUGAAACUGUAGACAUGUUGUGCUUGGCUCAUGCUUCAGAUAUGAUUGGUCUACAGAGAUUCAGACUGUGCCAAAAAGGCACAGUAGCAGCUGAUGGAUAUACAAGUACUAAGACAAUACUCCCUUAGUGUCAAAGAAACCCAUCUUAUACUAUUAAGCUACAGAGAUAGUAUGAGAUCAGUACUAACUCAGUUGAGUCGUCGAUAGAUCGGCAGUCCCUUAUUCAACAAAGAAUGCCACGAGAAGCCAUCUAGAAUUGUAAAUAAUAGACAAAUACUAGUUGUGUUAGGAGAAAGAGGUUGCCAUGGAUGGGAGGCGAGGGUACAAACAAGAUCUCGUCCAUAACCCGUGGUCGUUUGUCCACUUAUAGAGUUAAUCUAAAAGCGAUGGUAAGGUAGAACUAUGAGCGGCAGAGCAGAUCUCUGUAUUACACAAAUAGACUAUGAAACACAUAGUCAUGGGCAUCAUACAUCACCCGAGCAAAUCCGAAAUUAAUCUAACAGUGCUAGCGAUAGGUUGCAAUGCAGGGGAAUGGACCGCUGACAUGUACUAGAUAUCUUGAAGGAGAAGAAAUUUCAAACAAUGACAACAACCAAAGUAUCCUUAUAAGUUAGAGCAAGUGCAUUUACAAAGUCAUACGAUUUCAGCCACACAAGUCUCUCAUAAGCUACAAAAAGGCAAUUAAAAGGACAGCAGCCAUGUACAGUGAUAUGCAAUUUAGUCAGCAACAAGAGAACAUAAACAAUGGUAACCCCAGCAUCUUGGACAAAAAAUUUCUAAUGGUCAAACAUUGAAAUUGCAGGUAAUAAUACAAUCCGCACCGUCGGUGGAUGAAGAAUUAUGGCGCCUCAAUACAGUAAACAAUUCGUCGAUAUCUGCUACCAUGCGUGAUGACAUUAUAUCCAGAGGCUAAAUGAUGUAAAUAAUAGAACAGAUUUCUUCAUCCUUAUCCCUCCAAAUACGUAAAUAAAGUUUCCUUCGGGAAAGGAAUUAAGAAAGGUUGUUAGCGUGGCAGAUAACGGAGGACGUUUCCUCUGAAAAGAACAGAGGGCGUGAGAAACAAGAGCUGUCCUCGGAGAGGACUGCAGGAUUGAUCGAACAGGCCAAGAAACGGAACAAGAUGACGCUCAAGAGGAGAAGAGGAAGGGGUUACCUUGGGAGGAUGGGGUUAUCCGGGCGUCAGCUAUCUUCGUCGAGUACAACAGCUCACUCCCCGGCGGCCUCCUUCCCUUCCAUCCCGAUGUCUCUUCUUCCCCCUUCCGGCUAGGCCAUGGAAGCUCCGUGGCGUCGGCAGUGGCCGAGCAGACGAGUGGAUUCGUUAGACGAAAAUGUGGAUGGUCAAGGAAGGAAGGGAGGGAGGAGGGGGCGGACCAGGGUGGGGAAGUAUCGGAUGACGUUGGCCUGGUUCCCGCACCAGAGCGCGGCGGCACACUCCUCGCGGAGGACGCGGGCAAAGGCAUCGGUGAUCCCGCGGUAGGGCUACAUGAGGGCACCCCGGCACAACAUCUCGGCUUGGUUUUGCAGCAGCAUCUUGACGCGCUCCUUCGGCGCCACCCCCAUCUUGGCCACCACCGCCGCCGCGCCGCCCAUGGCGAAGUCUGCCGCCACCCUGGCGGGCGACCUGGCGGAUGUAGGCCGCCCUGUCGAGGAUGUAGUCGUCCCCGUCGUCCCUGUUGAGGAUGGAGCGCUCGGACCCACCAGAUGGAGCGCUCUGACCUACUAGGAUGUAGUCGUCCCUGUCGACGAGGAUGGAGCGCUCGGGCGUGGCGGAUCCGGCCCCAUUCCCGUCGGCGAAGUCGGAUCUCCUGGCGGCGGCCUCGCCGCCAGCCAUCCGCGUUCGUCCCCGCGCCCUUGGGCGGGUCCGAGGAGAGCUCCGGUUCCGAGGGGUUGGCGGGCUUGGGCUGCGCGGACUCCUCCAUGUCCGGCAUCCGGAUGGAUCUGGGAGUGCCUGCUGUCACUGUGAAGUGUGGGGAGAGAGAGAGAGGGGGGUUGCAGGAGAGGAGAGGGGCAAUCCGUCUGGGGCGGGAGGGAAGCGGAUGGGAGAGGGGAGGCCGUCGGCAGCGAGCUGUGGUAGGGAGGAGGCGGUGGGUGGGUGGCGGCGUGAGGAGGGAAGGAGGCAUGGCUCGGGUGCGGCGCGAGGGAAGCUAGGGUUUGGACUAGGGGGGGUGAGACGGACGAGGGGUGAGAGUGUGAGGGGGACGAGGGCUGCCGUCGGAUCGGGCAGUAUCCGACGGUGUUUGAGCAUGAUCCGCGUGAUGUGUGAGAGGCUUAUAGACCAAUCAGAACGCAGUAAACACUUUAAAGUUGUUAUGACCAUUUAAAUUGGUUGUAAUUUAAUAAAAAUAAGGUUUUUGACAAGAAAAGCAUUUUGUAUUUUUCAAGUAACAAUGACUAUUUUUUAAGAUCUACCAAAUAUUUGUUGCAAAAUGACACCACACCAUUUUUAGAAAUCAUUAGGCCAUAUUUUAUGUCUAAUUAACCAAACGGUUUAUUGUCAAAAUAUUUUCGAGUGCCCGAAAAUGGUUUUUUUUUUGAAAGACCUAUCAUAUAUUUAUUGCAAAAUUGUACCAAAUCAAUUUUCUAAAAUACUAGGACAUAUUUAAUGCACAAUUGACCAAAUAGUUGGGUGUAAAAAAUUUUAAUCCACCUCUCGUGAAAAAGACAAAUUUCCGCCGAUUCAGCUGGAAGCGGGUCAAAUUUGAACUAUAGCUACCUCGUAGUUUGCUCUUUAUUUUUCUCAAAAAUUAUUUCUAGGUACAUAAGUAUCUAUUUAAUCAGAGAAACACAAAAAAUUCCAAUAUUCAACCACUAGCUAGGAAUGGUUAUUCCCGCCAUUUUGACCGCAUUUUGAAACGGGCAUAAAAAAUUAAAAAAAACAAAAAAUUGGAAAACCUUUGCAUUGUUUCAUUAUAUGUGGCCAAGUUACCAGCAAAAAUUAUAAACUUGUAAUAUGGCAAUUAUUUUAAAUAAGUCUUCUCAGAAACGAGCUAUCAAAUGUGAAGAUUCAUGGCUUUCAAGCCAAAUGAUCAAUCUUAUGGCCACAUUCAUGACAUAGUUUGUUCAAAUGAUCUCAUAUUGUGCACAAGGGUGCAUCUUGGAAUGGCAGACAAUGUUGUCUAAGGAAGUUUUCAUUUUCUUUGGACGAAAAAUUCAUUUUCCAUUUUUUGAGUGCCCAAAAUGAGUUUUUUUGUGAAGGACCUAUAAUAUAUUUGUUGCAAAAUUGUACCAAUUCAAUUUUCUAAAAUACUAGGACAUAUUUAAUGCACAAUUGACCAAAUGGUUGGGUGUAAAAAGACAAAUUUCCGCCGAUUCAGUUGGAAGCGGGUCAAAUUUGAACUGUAGCUACCUCGAAGUUUGCUCUUUAUUUUUUCCAAAAAUCAUUUCUAUGUACAUUAGUAUUUAUUUAAUCAGAGAAAGGUCUCCAAGAUUCAACAACUAGCUAGGAACGGUCAAGCCCGCCGUUUUGACUGCAUUUUGAAACGGGCAUAAAAAAUUCAAAAAAAAUCAAAAAAUUGGAAAACCUUCGCGUUGUAUCAUCAUAUAUGACCAAGUUUCCAAGAAAAAUAAUAAACUUGUAAUACGGCAAUUAUUUUUAAAACGUGUUCUCAGAAAUGAGCUAUCAUGCAUGAAGAUUCAUAUCUUCCAAGCCAAAUGAUCAAUCUUAUGACCACAUUCAUGGUAUAGUUUGUUCAAAUGAUCUCAUAUUGUGCACAAGGGUGCAUCUUGGAAUUCCAAACAAUGUUGCCUAAGGAAGUUUUCAUUUUGUUUGCAUGGAAAAUUCAUUUUCCAUUUUUCGAGUGCUUGAAACGAGGUUUUUUUGUGAAGGACCUACCAUAUAUUUGUUGCAAAAUUGUACCAAAUCAAUUUUCUAAAAUACUAGGACAUAUUUAAUGCACAAUUGACCAAAUGGUUGGGUGUAAAAAGUUUUGAUCUACCUCUGGUGAAUAAGACAAAUUCACGUCAAUUUAGUAGGAAGCGGGUCAAAUUUAAACUGUAGCUACCUCGUAGUUUGCUCUUUAUUUUUUCCAAAAAUCAUUUCUAGAUACAUAAGUAUCUAUUUAAUCAGAGAAACACCAAAAAAAUUCCAAGAUUCAACAAAUAGCUAGGAACGGUCAUUCCCGCCGUUUUGACCGCAUUUUGAAACGGGCAUCAAAAAUUCAAAAAAAUUAAAAAAUUGGAAAGCCUACGCAUUGUUCCAUCAUAUGUGGCCAAGUUGCUAGAAAAAAUUAUAAACUUGUAAUACGGCAAUUAUUUUUAAAAAGUGUUCUCAGAAAUGAGCUAUCAUGCGUGAAGAUUCAUGGCUUUCAAGCCAAAUGAUCAAUCUUAUGGCCACAUUGAUGGCAUAGUUUGUUCAAAUGAUCUCAUAUUGUGCACAAGGGUGCAUCUGGGAAUUCCAAAUAAUGUUGCCUAAGGAAGUUUUCAUUUUGUUUGCACGGAAAAUUUAUUUUCCAUUUUUCGAGUACCUGAAAUGAGGUUUUUUUGUGAAGGACCUACCAUAUAGUUGUUGCAAAAUUGUACCAAAUCAAUUUUAUAAAAUACUAGGAUAUAUUUAAUGCACAAUUGACCAAAUGGUUGGGUGUAAAAAGUUUUGAUCUACCUCUGGUGAAAAAGACAAAUUCCCGCCGAUUCAGUAGGAUGCGGGUCAAAUUUGAACUGUAGCUACCUCGUAGUUUGCUCUUUAUUUUUUCCAAAAAUAAUUUCUAGGUACAUAAGUAUCUAUUUACUCAGAGAAACACCAUAUUAAUUCCAAGAUUCAACAAAUAGCUAGGAACGGUCAUUCCCGCCAUUUUGACCGCAUUUUGAAACGGGCAUAAAAAAUAAAAAAAAUAAAAAAAUUGGAAAACCUACGCAUUGUUUCAUCAUAUGUGGCCAAGUUGCCAGAAAAAAUUAUAAACUUGUAAUACGACAAUUAUUUUAAAAAAGUGUUCUCAGAAAUGAGCUAUCAUGCGUGCAGAUUCAUGACUUUCAAGCCAAAUGAUCAAUCUUAUGGCCACAUUGAUGGCAUAGUUUGUUCAAAUGAUCUCAUAUUGUGCACAAGGGUGCAUCUUGGAAUUCCAAACAAUGUUGCCUAAGGAAGUUUUCAUUUUGUUUGCACAGAAAAUUCAUUUUCCAUUUUUCGAGUGCCCGAAAUGAGGUUUUUUUGUGAAGGACCUACCAUAUAUUUGUUGCGAAAUUGUACCAAAUCAAUUUUCUAAAAUACUAGGACAUAUUUAAUGCACAAUUGACCAAAUGGUUGGGUGUAAAAAGUUUUGAUCCACCUCUGGUGAAAAAGACAAAUUCUCGUUGAUUCAGGAGGAAGAGGGUCAAAUUUGAACUGCAGGUGCCUCAUAGUUUGCUCUUUAUUUUUUCCAAAAAUCAUUUCUAGGUACAUAAGUAUAUAUUUAAUCAGAUAAACACCAAAAAAAUUUCCAAGAUUCAACCACUAGCUAGGAACGGUCAUUCCCGCCGUUCUGACCACAUUUUGAAACGGGCAUAAAAAUUUGAAAAAUAUCAAAAAAUUGGAAAACCUCCGCAUUGUGUCAUUAUAUGUGACCAAGUUUCCAGAAAAAAAUAAUAAACUUGUAAUACGGUAAUUAUUUUAAAAAAGUGUUAUCAGAAAUGAGCUAUCAUGUGUGAAGAUUCAUGGCUUUCAAGCCAAAUGAUCAAUCUUAUGGCCACAUUCAUGGCAUAGUUUGUUCAAAUGAACUCAUAUCGUGCACAAGGGCGCAUCUUGGAAUAACAAACAAUGUUGCCUAAGGAAGUUUUCAUUUUUUUCGACGAAAAAUUCAUUUUCCAUUUUUUCGAGUGCCCAAAAUGAGUUUUUUUGUGAAGGACCUACAAUAUAUUUGUUGCAAAAUUGGACCUAAUCAAUUUAAAAAAAUACUAGGCCAUAUAUAAUGCACAAUUGACAAAAUGGUUGGGUGUCAAAAGUUUUGAUCCACCUCUCGUGAAAAAGACAAAUUUCCGUCGAUUCAGUUGGAAGCGGGUCAAAUUUGAACUGCAGUUGCCUCAUAGUUUGCUCUUUAUUUUUUCCAAAAAUCAUUUCUAGGUACAUAAGUACCUAUUUAAUUAGAAAUACAUGGUUUGAUGGCGAUACAUCGAGGUUUGGAUGGUGACCGAGGGCCCCAACUGUAGAGUGCGUAAGCUCGCAUGCCCGUCGCGUGGUCACCACGUGACCGUGGUGUUGCCAUGCGUUCUGGGCGGACUAGGAAUGUCUAGUAGGUUGGGCACUCCCCAGGUCGGUGAUAGGAAGAAAAUUAUAACAUAAGAUUCUCAUGAGGAGACCGAACUAUGCUCAAACAUGAAUUAGCAGCCAAGUGUUUGAUUAGCGGUACGGGAAAUGCACAUGGCCAAUGGGAAUGAGUUUUGGCUGAGGAUGAUCAUAUACUAAGAAUAAUGUCUUCACAAAUAUUUAGGGAAAUCAAGAAUAUAUAAAUAACACUUCCUUCACAAAGUGUUGCUCUGAACAGAAUAGGAAAAUGAAUAUUGUUGAACUAUUUUUGAACUAAGCAAGGAAGGUUUUUGACAUAUUUGAUGAAUAUGAUCCAAACAAUUUAUGAGAAUUUUUUGGGAAUUUUUGGAAUAACAGAAAUAUAGGUUGCUUCACAACCUAGGGCAAAAAUUGACACAUGGACAUGACACAUAAGCAAAACUGAUGAGAUGGCGCCUAGUCAUCACAACCCACCACAAUUUACAAGGCUAUGACCAUCUAUAUUGGUCGUUAACAACUAGAAAUAAGGCAGCAGACCAGCGUCGUUUGCUUUAUGGCCAUUUUCUAUAAGGAAAUUAUGACCUUUCUGACCAAAAUGGUCACAAUGGUUUAGGGUUUGGAGCCCCCCGAACAUCUUUUGACCAAUUGGUCUCAAAUGGUCAUAGAUCUAUGACCAAUUCUUCCAGGGUCACUGACAGAAGGUCACUAGUUGACAUAUUUCUUGUAGUGUUUGGCAAAAAAUCAGAGGAGAUCCUCACCUUGUUGGAUGAGCUCAUCCUUCCACAGCACCUCAAGGCCAUGGCCUGGGAGCAGGGGAGGGGUAAUAAGGUGCCUUCUACCGCAGUGUGGCAUCAGCCGUAGUUGUGCAGCGCCCGCCGGAGUAGUGCGUUGGACUAACCACAAUGGAGCAGCUACUGGAGACCAUGAGAAUGAGGGGUGGCGCCAGAGGGACGAGCAGCCAGGGAGAUUUGCCCCUACCUGCCGGCCUUGUAGCCUAGCUGGACAUAGCAUCAUCGAGGACCAGGCCAGAUGGGACCAGUGGCGACGGCUCGCUGGAGGAACCCUAGUGUUGCAGGCAGGGGAUCGAGGUAGAGGGAAAGGGGAGAUGAGAUGCAAGCGGGCAGGGCAAUGAACGCUUGCGUGUUUUUUUUACUUGAGGGUCAAGUGUGACACGGGCGUCAUGUUGGAAAUAUGCCCUAGAGGCAAUAAUAAAAGGAUUAUUAUUAUAUUUCCUUGUUCAUGAUAAUUGUCUUUAUUCAUGCUAUAAUUGUAUUAUCCGGAAAUCGUAAUACACGUGUGAAUACAUAGACCAUAAUAUGUCCCUAGUAAGCCUCUAGUUGACUAGCUCGUUGAUCAACAGAUAGUCAUGAUUUCCUGACUAUGGAAAUUAGAUGUCGUUGAUAACGGGAUCACAUCAUUAGGAGAAUGAUGUGAUGGACAAGACCCAAUCCUAAGCAUAGCACAAGAUCGUGUAGUUUGUUUUGCUAGAGCUUUUCCAAUGUCAAGUAUCUUUUCCUUAGACCAUGAGAUCGUGUAACUCCCGGAUACUGUAGGAGUGCUUUGGGUGUACCAAACGUCACAAUGUAACUGGGUGACUAUAAAGGUGCACUACAGGUAUCUCCGAAAGAGUUUGUUGGGUUGACACGGAUCGAGACUGGGAUUUAUCACUCCGUAUGAGGGAGAGGUAUCUCUGGGCCCACUCGCUAAUGCAUCAUCAUAAUGAGCUCAAAGUGACCAAGUGUCUGGUAACGGGAUCAUGCAUUAUGGUACAAGUAAAGUGACUUGCCGGUAACGAGACUGAACGAGGUAUUGGGAUACCAACGAUCGAGUCUCGGGCAAGUAACGUACUGAUUGACAAAGGGAAUUGUAUAUGGGGUUGAUUGAAUCCUCGACAUCGUGGUUCAUCUGAUGAGAUCAUCGAGGAGCAUGUGGGAGCCAACAUGGGUAUCCAGAUCCCGCUGUUGGUUAUUGACCGGAGAGCCGUCUCGGUCAUGUCUACGUGUCUCCCGAACCCGUAGGGUCUACACACUUAAGGUUCGGUGACGCUAGGGUUGUAGAGAUAUGAGUAUGCAGCAAACUGAAAGUUGUUCGGAGUCCCGGAUGAGAGUUGUUCGGAGUCCCGGAUGAGAUCCUGGACGUCACUAGGAGUUCCGGAAUGGUCCGGAGGUAAAGAAUAAUAUAUAGGAAGUGAAGUUUCGGCCAUCGGGAGAGUUUUGGGGGUCACUGGUAUUGUACCGGGACCACCGGAAGGGUCCCGGGGGUCCACCGGGUGGGGCCACCUAUCCCGGAGGGCCCCGUGGGCUGAAGUGGGGAGGGGACCAGCCCCUGGUUGGCUGGUGCGCCCCCCUGGGCCCCCCUCUGCGCCUAGGGUUGGGAACCCUCGGGGAGGGGGCGCCUCCACUUGCCUUGGGGGGCACUCCACCCCCCUUGGCCGCCACCCCCCUAGAGAUCCCAUCUCUAGGGCCGGCGCCCCCCUGGGGGCCUAUAUAAAGGAGGGGGGAGGGAGGGCAGUCGCACCCUGAAGUCUUGGCGCCUUCCUCUCCCCUGCUACACCUCUCCCUCUCGUAGAAGCUCGGCGAAGCUCUACCGGAACUCUGCUGCAUCCACCACCACGCCGUCGUGCUGCUGGAUCUUCAUCAACCUCUCCUUCCCCCUUGCUGGAUCAAGAAGGAGGAGACGUCAUCCGCGUGUGUUGAACGCGGAGGUGCUGUCCGUUCGGCACUUGGUCAUCGGUGAUUUGGAUCACGACGAGUACGACACCCUCAACCCCGUUCUCUUGAACGCUUCCGCUCGCGAUCUACAAGGGUAUGUAGAUGCACUCCUAUCACUUGUUGCUAGAUGAACUCAUAGAUGGAUCUUGGUGAAAGCGUAGGAAAUUUUUUAUUUUCUGCAACGUUCCCCAACAGUGGCAUCAUGAGCUAGGUCUAUGCGUAGUUCUCUAUUGCACGAGUAGAACACAAAUUUGUUGUGGGCGUAGAUGUUGUCAACUUUCUUGCCGCUACUAGUCUUAUUUUGCUUUAGCAGUAUUGUGGGAUGAAGCAGCCCGGACCGACCUUACACGUACGCUUACGUGACACAGGUUCCACCGACUGACAUGCACCAGUUGCAUAAGGUGGCUAGCGGGUGUCUGCCUCUCCCACUUUAGUUGGAGCGGAUUCGAUGAAAAGGGUUCUUAUGAAGGGUAAAUAGAAGUUGACAAAUCAUGUUGUGGCUUUUUCGUAGGUAAGAAAAAGUUCUUGCUAGAACCCUAUUGCAGCCACGUAAAAGAUGCAACAACAAUUAGAGGACGUCUAACUUGUUUUUGCAGCAAUUGCUUUGUGAUGUGAUAUGGCCAAAAGUUGUGAUGAAUGAUGAAUGAUAUAUUGUGAUGUAUGAGAUCAUGUUCUUGUAAUAGGAAUCACGACUUGCAUGUCGAUGAGUAUGACAACUGGCAGGAGCCAUAGGAGUUGUCUUAAUUAUUGUAUGACCUGCGUGUCAAUGAUUUAACGCCAUGUAAUUACUUUAAUUCAUUGCUAAAACGUUAGCCAUAGUAGUAGAACUAAUAGUUUGCGAGCAACUUCAUGGAGACACGAUGAUGAAGAUCAUGAUGAUGGAGAUCAUGGUGUCAUGCCGGUGACGAAGAUGAUCAUGGAGCCCCGAAGAUGGAGAUCAAAGGAGCUAUAUGAUAUUGGCCAUAUCAUGUCACUACUAUAUAAUUGCAUGUGAUGUUUAUUAUGUUUAUGCAUCUUGUUUAAUUAGAACGACGGUAGUAAAUAAGAUGAUCCCUUAUAAUAAUUUCAAGAAAGUGUUCUCCCCUAACUGUGCGCCGUUGCUAAAGUUCGUCGUUUUGAAGCACCACAUGAUGAUCGGGUGUGAUAGAUUCUUACGUUCACAUACAACGGGUGUAAGACAGUUUUACACAUGCAAAAACACUUAGGGUUAACUUGACGAGCCUAGCAUGUACAGACAUGGCCUCGGAACACAGAGACCGAAAGGUCGAACAUGAGUCGUAUGGAAGAUACGAUCAACAUGGAGAUGUUCACCGAUGAUGACUAGUCCGUAUCACGUGAUGAUCGGACACGGCCUAGUCAACUCGGAUCGUGUAACACUUAGAUGACUAGAGGGAUGUCUAAUCUGAGUGGGAGUUCAUUAGAUAAUUUGAUUAGAUGAAUUUAAUUAUCAUGAACUUAGUCUAAAACCUUUGGAAAUAUGUCUUGUAGAUUGAAUGGCCAACGCUCAUGUCAACAUGAACUUCAACGCGUUCCUAGAGAAGACCAAGCUGAAAGAUGAUGGCAGCAACUAUACGGACUGGGUCCGGAACCUGAGGAUCAUCCUCAUAGCUGCCAAGAAAGCAUAUGUCCUAGAAGGACCGCUAGGUGAAGCACCCAUCCCAGAGAACCAAGACGUUAUGAACGCUUGGCAGUCACGUGCUGAUGAUUACUCCCUCGUUCAGUGCGGCAUGCUUUACAGCCUAGAACCGGGGCUCCAAAAGCGUUUUGAGAAACACGGAGCAUAUGAGAUGUUCGAGGAGCUGAAAAUGGUUUUCCAAGCUCAUGCCCGAGUCGAGAGAUAUGAAGUCUCUGACAAGUUCUAUAUUUGUAAGAUGGAGGAAAAUAGUUCUAUCAGUGAGCACAUACUCAAAAUGUCUGGGUUGCACAACCGCCUGUCCCAGCUGGACAUUAACCUCCCAGACGAGGCGGUCAUUGACAGAAUCCUUCACCCGCUCCCACCAAGCUACAAGAGCUUUGUGAUGAACUACAAUAUGCAGGGGAUGGUGAAAACUAUUCCUGAACUAUUUUCAAUGCUGAAGUCAGCAGAGGUAGAAAUCAAGAAAGAACAUCAAGUGUUGAUGGUCAAUAAAACCACCAUGUUCAAGAAGGGCAAGGGUAAGAAGAACUUCAAGAAGGACGGCAAGGAUGUUGCCGCGCCCGGUAAGCCAGUUGCCGGGAAGAAGUCAAAGAAUGGACCCAAGCCUGAGACUGAGUGCUUUUAUUGCAAGGGGAAGGGUCACUGGAAGCGGAACUACCCCAAAUACUUAGCAGACAAGAAGGCCGGCAACACUGAAGGUAUAUGUGAUAUACAUGUAAUUGAUGUGUUCCUUACCAGUACUCGUAGUAACUCCUGGGUAUUUGAUACCGCUGCCAUUGCUCAUAUUUGUAACUCACAGCAGGAGCUGCGGAAUAAGUGGAGACUGGUGAAGGACGAGGUGACGAUGCGCGUCGGGAAUGGUUCCAAGGUCGAUGUGAUCGCCGUCGGCACGCUACCUCUACAUUUACCUACGGGGUUAGUUUUAAACCUCAAUAAUUGUUAUUUAGUGCCAAGUUUGAGCAUGAACAUUGUAUCUGGAUCUCGUUUGAUACGAGAUGGCUACUCAUUUAAAUCUGAGAAUAAUGGUUGUUCUAUUUAUAUGAGAGAUAUGUUUUAUGGUCAUGCCCCGAUGGUCAAUGGUUUAUUCUUAAUGAAUCUCGAACGUAAUGUUACACAUAUUCAUAGUGUGAAUACCAAAAGAUGUAAAGUUGAUAACGAUAGUCCCACAUACUUGUGGCACUGCCGCCUUGGUCAGAUUGGUGUCAAGCGCAUGAAGAAGCUCCAUGCUGAUGGACUUUUAGAGUCUCUCGAUUAUGAAUCAUUUGACACAUGCGAACCAUGCCUCAUGGGCAAAAUGACCAAGACUCCGUUCUCCGGAACAAUGGAGCGAGCAACCAACUUAUUGGAAAUCAUACAUACCGAUGUGUGCGGUCCAAUGAGCGUUGAGGCUCGCGGAGGAUAUCGUUAUGUUCUCACUCUCACUGAUGACUUGAGUAGAUAUGGGUAUGUCUACUUAAUGAAACACAAGUCUGAGACCUUUGAAAAGUUCAAGGAAUUUCAUAAUGAGGUAGAGAAUCAACGUGACCGAAAGAUAAAGUUCCUACGAUCAGAUCGUGGAGGAGAAUAUUUAAGUCAUGAAUUUGGUACACACUUAAGGAAAUGUGGAAUUGUUUCACAACUCAUGCCACCUGGAACACCUCAGCGUAACGGUGUGUCCGAACAUCGUAAUCGCACUCUAUUGGAUAUGGUGCGGUCUAUGAUGUCUCUUACCGAUUUACCGCUAUCAUUUUGGGGAUACGCUCUAGAGACAGCUACAUUCACUUUAAAUAGGGCUCUGUCUAAAUCCAUUGAGACAACACCGUAUGAAUUAUGGUUUGGGAAGAAACCUAAGAUGUCGUUUCUAAAAGUUUGGGGAUGCGAUGCUUAUGUCAAGAAACUUCAACCUGAAAAGCUCGAACCCAAGUCGGAAAAAUGCGUCUUCAUAGGAUACCCUAAGGAAACCAUUGGGUAUACCUUCUACUUAAGAUCCGAGGGCAAGAUCUUUGUUGCUAAGAACGGAUCCUUUCUGGAAAAAGAGUUUCUCUCGAAAGAAGUAAGUGGGAGGAAAGUAGAACUCGAUGAAGUACUACCUCUUGAACCGGAAAGUAGUGCAGCUCAGCAAAAUGUUCCUGUGGUGCCUACACCGACUAGAGAGGAAAUUAAUGAUGAUGAUCAAGGUACUUCGGAUCAAGUUGCUACUGAACUUCGUAGGUCCACAAGGACACGUUCCACACCAGAGUGGUAUGGCAACCCUGUCCUGGAAAUAAUGUUGUUAGACAACGGUGAACCUUCGAACUAUGAAGAAGCGAUGGCGGGCCCAGAUUCCAACAAAUGGCUUGAAGCCAUGCAAUCCGAGAUAGAAUCCAUGUAUGAAAACAAAGUAUGGACUUUGACAGACUUGCCCGAUGAUCAGUGAGCGAUUGAAAACAAAUGGAUCUUUAAGAAGAAGACGGAUGCGGAUGGUAAUGUUACCAUCUAUAAAGCUCGACUUGUCGCUAAGGGUUAUCUACAAGUUCAAGGGGUUGACUAUGAUGAGACAUUCUCUCCCGUAGCGAAGCUGAAGUCCGUUCGAAUCAUGUUAGCAAUUACCGCAUACUAUGAUUAUGAGAUAUGGCAGAUGGACGUCAAAACGGCAUUCCUUAACGGACAUCUUAAGGAAGAACUGUAUAUGAUGCAGCCGAAAGGUUUUGUUGAUCAUAAGAAUGCUAACAAAGUAUGCAAGCUCCAGCGAUCCAUUUAUGGGCUGGUGCAAGCAUCUCGGAGUUGGAACAUUCGCUUUGAUGAGAUGAUCAAAGCGUUUGGGUUUAUGCAGACUUAUGGAGAAGCCUGCGUUUACAAGAAAGUGAGUGGGAGCUCUGUAGCAUUUCUCAUAUUAUAUGUAGAUGACAUAAUCUUGAUGGGAAAUGAUAUAGAACUUUUGGACAACAUUAAGGCCUACUUGAAUAAGUGUUUUUCAAUGAAGGACCUUGGAGAAGCUGCUUACAUAUUAGGCAUCAAGAUCUAUAGGGAUAGAUCGAGACGCCUCAUAGGUCUUUCACAAAGCACAUACCUUGGUAAGAUUUUGAAGAAGUUCAAAAUGGAUCAGUCCAAGAAAGGGUUCUUGCAUGUAUUGCAAGGUGUGAGAUUGAGCUCGGCUCAAUGCCCGACCAUGGCAAAAGAUAAAGAAGAGAUGAGUGUCAUCCCCUAUGCUUCAGCCAUAGGAUCUAUUAUGUAUGCCAUGUUGUGUACCAGACCUAAUGUAAACCUUGCCGUAAGUUUGGUAGGUAGGUACCAAAGUAAUCCCGGCAAGGAAUACUGGACAACGGUCAAGAAUAUCCUAAAGUACUUGAAAAGGACAAAGGACAUGUUUCUCGUUUAUGGAGGUGACGAAGAGCUCGUCGUAAAGGGUUACGUCGACGCUAGCUUCGACACAGAUCUGGAUGACUCUAAGUCACAAACCGGAUACGUGUAUAUGUUGAAUGGUGGAGCAGUAAGCUGGUGCAGCUGCAAGCAGAGCGUCGUGGCGGGAUCUACAUGUGAAGCGGAGUACAUGGCAGCCUCGGAGGCAGCGCAUAAAGCAAUUUGGGUGAAGGAGUUCAUCACUGACCUAGGAGUCAUACCCAAUGCGUCGGGGCCGAUCAAACUCUUCUGUGACAACACUGGAGCUAUUGCCCUUGCCAAGGAGCCCAGGUUUCACAAGAAGACCAGGCACAUCAAGCGUCGUUUCAACUCCAUCCGUGAAAAUGUUCAAGAUGGAGACAUAGAUAUUUGCAAAGUACAUACGGAUCUGAAUGUCGCAGAUCCGUUGACUAAACCUCUUUCGCGAGCAAAACAUGAUCAACACCAGAACUCUAUGGGUGUUCGAUUCAUCACAAUGUAACUAGAUUAUUGACUCUAGUGCAAGUGGGAGACUGUUGGAAAUAUGCCCUAGAGGCAAUAAUAAAAGGAUUAUUAUUAUAUUUCCUUGUUCAUGAUAAUUGUCUUUAUUCAUGCUAUAAUUGUAUUAUCCGGAAAUCGUAAUACACAUGUGAAUACAUAGACCAUAAUAUGUCCCUAGUAAGCCUCUAGUUGACUAGCUCGUUGAUCAACAGAUAGUCAUGAUUUCCUGACUAUGGACAUUAGAUGUCGUUGAUAACGGGAUCACAUCAUUAGGAGAAUGAUGUGAUGGACAAGACCCAAUCCUAAGCAUAGCACAAGAUCGUGUAGUUCGUUUUGCUAGAGCUUUUCCAAUGUCAAGUAUCUUUUCCUUAGACCAUGAGAUCGUGUAACUCCCGGAUACCGUAGGAGUGCUUUGGGUGUACCAAACGUCACAACGUAACUGGGUGACUAUAAAGGUGCACUACAGGUAUCUCCGAAAGUGUUUGUUGGGUUGACAUGGAUCGAGACUGGGAUUUGUCACUCCGUAUGACGGAGAGGUAUCUCUGGGCCCACUCAGUAAUGCAUCAUCAUAAUGAGCUCAAAGUGACCAAGUGUCUGGUCAUGGGAUCAUGCAUUAUGGUACGAGUAAAGUGACUUGCCGGUAACGAGACUGAACGAGGUAUUGGGAUACCGACGAUCGAGUCUCAGGCAAGUAACGUACCGAUUGACAAAGGGAAUUGUAUACGGGGUUGAUUGAAUCCUCGACAUCGUGGUUCAUCCGAUGAGAUCAUCGAGGAGCAUGUGAGAGCCAACAUGGGCAUCCAGAUCCCGCUGUUGGUUAUUGACCGGAGAGCCGUCUCGGUCAUGUCUACGUGUCUCCCGAACCCGUAGGGUCUACACACUUAAGGUUCGGUGACGCUAGGGUUGUAGAGAUAUGAGUAUGCAGCAAACCGAAAGUUGUUUGGAGUCCCGGAUGAGAUCCUGGACGUCACUAGGAGUUCCGGAAUGGUCCGGAGGUAAAGAAUAAUAUAUAGAAAGUGAAGUUUCGGCCAUCGGGAGAGUUUCGGGGGUCACCGGUAUUGUACCGGGACCACCGGAAGGGUCCUGGGGGUCUACCGGGUGGGGCCACCUAUCCCGGAGGGCCCCGUAGGCUGAAGUGGGGAGGGGACCAGCCCCUGGUGGGCUGGUGCGCCCCCCUGGGCCCCCCUCUGCGCCUAGGGUUGGGAACCCUAGGGGAGGGGGCGCUCCACCCCCCUUGGCCGCCGCCCCCCUAGAGAUCCCAUCUCUAGGGCCGGCGCCCCCCCUGGGGGCCUAUAUAAAGGAGGGGGAGGGAGGGCAGACGCACCCUGAAGUCUUGGCGCCUCCCUCUCCCCUGCUACACCUCUCCCUCUCGCAGAAGCUCGACGAAGCUCUGCCGGAACUCUGCUGCAUCCACCACCACGCCGUCGUGCUGCUGGAUCUUCAUCAACCUCUCCUCCCCCCUUGCUGGAUCAAGAAGGAGGAGACAUCAUCCGCUCCGUACGUGUGUUGAACGCGGAGGUGCUGUCCGUUCAGCACUUGGUCAUCGGUGAUUUGGAUCACGAAGAGUACGACUCCCUCAACCCCGUUCUCUUGAAAGCUUCCGCUCGCGAUCUACAAGGGUAUGUAGAUGCACUCCUAUAACUCGUUGCUAGAUGAACUCAUAGAUGGAUCUUGGUGAAACCGUAGGAAUUUUUUUAUUUUCUGCAACGUUCCCCAACACGUCAGCAGUUGUAUUUUGAGUGUAAUAUAGGCAGACAACAAAGUCAUUUCACUAUUCCCCUUCCUUCAAUUAUUAGUGAGGUUCUACCUGAAACACCCCCCUCCAAAGCGAAAUUAGUUAAGCCCAAGCCCAUAACUCAAAAAUGACAUCUUUACAUCUUUUAUGGCUUAUUUUGACAAUAAGCCCUGAAAAGGCGGAAUCGAACUGGCCCUUAACCUGUAAUUCAAUUGUGCGUGCAAUGAUGAAUCACUCCUGCCUGCUAUAGUGUACAUUUAGGCAUCAUCAUACAUGGCAUAACCUAAUACAUGUGCAUUCCAUUGUAGAAUCUGGACUAUGCAAUGUUUAUGUUAGUUCAUACAUUGCACAUGAUGUUUAAAUGCCCCUUAAAUCUGGUCAGUCAAGUGAUGGUCUUUAAGCCUCCUUCUUUGCUUCUUUUCUUGAUAUGUAAGAUUUGCUCACACAUCUGUUCAAUUGCUUGUUUGCAUCAGCCAGCCAUACUAGGACUGUUUGCUUUGAUUACUUGAUGUUCUUUACUUAACACUAUAAUAGAGCUUGUCAACGAUUUAAACACUAAGGGCUACUGUAGUGGGGCCUUGCCUAACUCAUAGGUGACAUAAAGGUUUGGCUGUACACUAAAGUAGGCUCUCCAAGAGUACCUGGAGAUUCAGUUCGAAGGUAUGCCUAGUUUUUACAUAGUGCAGACAUAGUAAAUGCUCAUUUCAUUGUGUGCAAGUGCAAGAGAUGUGGCAUGUUUCAUUAUGUGGUGUUGUUUUGUUAUAAUCUCAUCCUUUUGUGUUCACAUACUGGAAAGUAUGCAUAUUUAUCUUCCAAGGAGAUGAGUAACUAGUUUGUGUCACCUUGCAGAGGGGAUGCAAUGAAGAUAAGAUUGAGGAUUUCCAAGUACAAGAUGUUAGGAAGGAGCCUUGCAAGAGAAGUAGGAGCUGCGCUGAGCCUCUUCAACUUGUUAAGGUAAGUCACUGUAUGCAACUCAGCAGUUCAAUUCCUUGUUUGUUUCAGGCAUAGUUAAUUUGCUCGUUUCAAUUGCUUUAUUUGUCCUUAAUUAAUGAGAUGCCCAAAGAAUCAUGCCUAAUGUUGGGUACUUGUAUAACUAUUAGUUGACAUAGUUAAAGGCCUUACCAUUUAAUUAAUCCGCCGAAGUGUGCCUGAAGCUUUGAAGUCUAUUAACCAACUAUUAUUGCAUGAGGCUCACAAUCUAGUUUAUACUAGGCUAAUGAUUGCAUAGUUUUGCCUGCUGUAGUAUGUUUGUAUGAAACCCUCUAUUGUUCAUUAUGCUCCCUAAGACUUUAAUUGAGCAACAGAAUGGCCAACUGCUUGCUUACUGAUACGCAACAUGCUGUCUAAAUUUGUAACUUGUUUGUGUUUUGGAUUGGGCCCCAACAUCAUGCUCCUCUGGUGAGCUAAGAGGGAUUUAUGUAUGCAGGCUGCACAGACUAUCUUUUUUAUAAUUUUUAAAAUAUCACCUGCUUAUUCUUCAUGACGUGUAACAUUAUUGUUAGUCCUGUUUUGCCAUGUAGUACAAAAUAAUAUCUUGCUCGCUUCACUGUUGUAACUAUAUUUUUGCCCUAGUCAUGUGUACUUACAGAAACAUUUCAGGAUGAAGUGACAUCAACACAAAGAUCUGCGAGCAGUGCGGUCGUUACCGAAUGAUUAUGGAUUGGAAUUGGAAUGUGCUGAUGUUCUUGAGCAUCAACUAGAGAUGGCAAGACAACGUGUACAUGAUUGUCAACGUAUAAUCAACAAGUUGAAACUAGACAUGCAGGUAUUAGAUGCAGGAGUCAAAAAAAUGAAACAAGACACUGAGGUAACCAUGAAGGAAUUGGAGAUUUUGUAGACUUGAAAUUGUGUUAUCUAAAUCCGGCCAAUCCUAUUUUCUGAAGAGAUUAUAGUUCAAAUGGAGUUAAGUUGAUGCGCAUCCAUGAUGUAUGAGUUGUAUUCGCGCAGUAUAUGUAAUUUGCUCUUUGUGUACGCUUUAUUAUCACCUAUGCCGAACCAUAAUGCCCAGUGGGUAUAAUUGGCUGUAAUUUCUUUAUUGUAUAGUGUAGGAUUAUUCUACGUUUCUAUGCCUUGGUCUCUUUGUUGUAUAGUGUAUGUUUUUUAGAGGUGAUAGUAUUGAGUAGGAUAAUUCUUUGAAUAUGCUAUAUCGUUCAAACUGGGGCCAACUCGCUCGAACGUUGUAGUGACCAUGGCCCUCCACGGGCCGUAUGAUCCAUGGGCCAUGUACGGGCCAUUGUAUCCAUGGGCCUUCAAUGGGCCGUCGGAUCCAUGGGCCUUCAAUGGGCCGUCUCGUAGGAUCCAUGGGCCUUCUACGUCUCGUAGGAUCCAUGGGCCUUCUACGUCUCGUAGGAUCCAUGGGCCUUGUAAGGGUCGACUCAUUUAUGGGCCUUGUACGGGCCUUUAAUGGGCCGUAGACGGGCUAGAGUGGAAAUUGUACGUUUUAUGGGAUGACCAUAACGGGCCGUUAAUAGGCCGUAUUUGGUGAUGCUAUGAAAAUGGCCCAACAGAUGAAGGUCCACAAACGGGCCGACCGUAACGACGGGCUGAAUUUGGCCCACAACCAUAAAAUGACAGUAACGGGCCAUAAGUAACCGAAUGCCGCAAAUGAGUCCAAGAAUAAAUGUGCCCUCAGAAGGCCGAAAGAUAACUUGGGCUGGAAACAGCCAAACGGAAUAACGGGUCAUUAAUGGGUAUAAAGUGAUACACUGUUCAUUAUGGGCCAGUUUCACCACGGGCCGUUAAUGGGUGUAAAGUGAUACACUGUUCAUUACGGGCCAGUUUCACCAUGGGUCGUUAAUGGGCCAAGAGUUACAAAGGGCCUCAUAUGGGCCGAAAGACGUCAUGGGCCAUACAUGGGCCAGAAGUGAAAACAGGCUGGAACCAUAUUGGAUGGCCCAGAUGAUGCUACUGGGCCUAAUUCGGAUAGGGCGUAAUGGGCCUUGGGUUAGCGGGCUGUAAAUGGGCUAUAUGCGAAUAGGCUGUUAACAGGCUUUCCAUGGGCCGGCCCGCCACCUUUUGACCAAGUCAAACGGGCCGGCCUUUUCACAGGAAUGGGCCUCUAUUGGGUCGUGCCACAUGUCGAUCUAUCAUAGGCGCAUUCUGUCCAAUAUGUGGAUGACAUCUGUCCCAACGAUUAGCCGACACGUGUUUCCUCCAGCCAAUGAUGAUUUUACACGUGGAAAAUCCCCAUUGGUCAGGGCUGUUAACGGGUUAUCGGAUCCAAAACCCGACCCGAUAGCUUAACGGCAUUCCGUUACGGUGGAUGCCAUGUGUCGGUCACCCUUGAUGAAAGCACUUCUGUGAUGCGCGAUUUAUCGUCAUGGAAGUGGACACUUCCGUGAUGAUAAUUUUGGUAAUGUCAUGGAACACUUCAUAAAAUCGUCAUGGAUGUACAUGCAUGACAAGAAACGCGACCUACUAUGACAAACACGUAUCAUCACGGAAGUGUAUUUUUUUGUAGUUUCAUUCUUUACUUGGUGCUUCUAUAGUUCUUCAGUAUAUGUACCUGUGCAUCGAAUUAUGCAUUCGUGGUUGAACCUAUAUUUGUAAUAAACCUGGUUGGAUAUGAAAUAAGUGAUUGCCUACUUUCAAAUUCAAAAAUGUGAUUUUUAAAUUAGGGAUUAAUAAGGGAUUAAUUAGGGAUCAAUCAGGGAUUAAUUAGGGAUUACACUACACACGGUUUGCAAAAGCGAAAUGUCUGCGAUAGACGUGGAGAUCAGACAUGUUUCUAGGAUCCACUAUGUGUGUGAUCAAUCUCCACUGCACACACGAUCAACCAGGAAAAAACAUGUGCGAUCAAUCUCCACUGCACACAUGAUCACCCAAGAAAAAAUGUGUGUGAUUAACAACAGCAUUGCACACAGUUCUUUCUUAUUAAAUGUUUGAGAUAGUCACCUUAUCACACACGCUUCAAAUUUUUUUUUGACUAGGAACUGUGGGGCAAAACCCCCACAGCAUAUCAAAACUUUAUUGAAAAAAGAAUAAGUAAUACAACAGGGUGAUUACAAGGAGUAACCAGGGUACAAGGUAACACAAGAAAGGGGGGCUUACAAAAACUAGCUUAGGGUGGGAGAAAAGAGAUCCAUCUAAGCAGUUCAUCCUUGUAAACAGAUUUGAUUCUGUGCUGCAUAAGGCUAAUAUCAUGCUUAAAAGCAAACCUCCAUUUAUUGAAACUAGCUCUCUCAUUUCUGAAUACUUUGGCAUUUCUGAUGAUCCAAAUAUUCCAGCAAGCAAUGAAAACCACUUCAGAGAAAAAGGGUUUAUCAAAACUUCUUUUAGCCUGAGUAACCUGCUGCAUCAUGGAGGUGCCAGUAGACCAGUCAAUCUGCAGAUAAUUCCAGACCCUGACACUGAAAUUGCAGUUGAAGAAUAGGUGAUCCCUGGUUUCUCUAACCUGCAAAGGACAAAGCCUACAAUGGACCCCAUCAUCCAUGUGCCAGUGCCUUCUCUCAACCAUGUCCUUAGUGUUCAACCUGUCCAUAAUAAGCAUCCAUGCAAAAACCUUGAUCUUGGGGGUACAAGAGGAUUUUCAAACCCCACAGAGCAAGGGAUUAAAUGAUUCAGACACAGAAGUGUGUGAGUAGAACAUCUUGGGUUUGAAAAACUUGGUGGAUCCUUGCCAGAACCAAACAUCUCUCAAACUUGAGUCUCUGCUGUGGGAAUUCAUCAAUUCCUGAAUCUGGUUCAACUCAUCAUAGGCCUGAGCAGAUAAGGGGAGGUGAAAGAGUUGAUGAAUAUCCUGGGUAUUGAAAGAUUCCUUAACUGAGAUCCAGGGAUCCUUGGCAAAAGAGUAAAGCCUUGGGAAUCUUGUCUGCAAACUAGACACUGCGUUAUCAAGGUUCCAAUUAUCAGCCCAAAAAAGGGCAGUGUCCCCUUCAUUAAUUUGAACCCAGGAGCCACACGCUUCAAAAUUAUUGACUGUUUGUGAUGUACAUACUAAUGGAAACGUAUACCUUGGAUCGACUGUGUGGAAUAUGCAUAUGAACGGAAACAUUUAUUAGGGGCUGACUAUGUGGGAUGUACUUAUGACCAGAAACGAUUUUGCAUGUAUAAUUGCUUUUUUAGCACUACUGUACGUAUAACCGUAUUUGCUCGCUCAUCGGUCGCACACGACCUCAUUUCGCCGAGCAUGUGUGCUAGGAGGGCAUGUCCCCGACGGUUUCUAGGUUGGUGUGGGAAGGACCCCCCUAUCGCCUAGACUCACUAGGUGACGGUUCCAAACACCAUCGCGGAAAGGGGUUAAAAACCAUUUGUAUAGCAUCGACACGUACCAGUGUGGGGACACAAGAGAUUUCUUGUAUUUGAUUGCAGGGUUGCUUGAGAGAGACUAUCUUCAUCCUACGCCUCCCAUGGAUUGAUAAACCUUAGGUCAUCCACUUGAGGGAAAAUUGCUACUGUCCUACAAAACUCUGCGCUUGGAGGCCCAACACGCGUCUACAAGAACAAAGUUGCAUAGUAGACAUCAUAGCUGCUCGGCAAUGGGUCUGAAGGCCAUGGCCGGAUAGAGAUCCUUCAUGGCUAGCUCCGCCAUAUGAUGUAGCUCCAUCAACUGCUUCAUCUGGUUGUUAAAGAGGGGAGGGUGCUCGGGCGCCCGGAACUGCACCCAAAACAACCUAUGCUCGGCAUCGCCCUCCUGGGACGCAAAGUGCCUCGCCGCAUCUACCACAAUCCUCAGAAGAUCCGCAAAAGUGCCUGGGGAAUGCCAUACUCGCGUGAGCAAAGCGAACCUGUUACCACCAAAGACACUUUGAAGUAAGUACGGCUUACCAUCUGCAAAAAUCCUAACUUGGCGGAGUUCUUCUCGGGCGCCUCUCACCUCUGUCUUAGCCUCCUGGAUCGACAACUUCACUGAGGUUAGCUCAGUGGCUUGAUACUUAGUUUUCUGCUCAAGGUCCUCACAUUUAGUGACGGCUUCCUUGAGCUCUUGCGGCACCUCGGCUACUCUGGCCUUGUGCUUGUCACUGACAUACUUCACCGUCGUAAGUUCGGCGGCCGCUCGUUCGGCUGCCGCCUUCUAUUAUGCGGCCUCUUGCUUUGCCUUCUUCAGCUCGGCCUUGAGGUUCUCAACCUCCGCGGUGAAAAUUGCAUUUAUAAUGAGCACCCCGCACUUAGGGAUAAAACCUAAAUACCUCACUUGAUGAGGAAACCCAAUGUAUUAAAACAGUCCAGUCCUGACUCACCUUGUGCUUCAUCGAACAGCUUGUUGAGAAGGUCGAGCUCCUCGUCGGAGCUCUUGAGCUUCUGACUCACCUCAGCCAGCUCCACGGUGUUGGCGGCUGCCGCUGAAGACGAGGCAUGCACAACAUGUCAGACUCCUGAGUUAUCGAUAUUUAGAUCCUCUGCCAGGUUUUCUUCAAUACUUCCAGAGUCUCGGGGGCUACGGUUCACUUUUGCUAUCAUCAGUGUUUUUGAACUAUUCGACCCCCACUUAAGUUUUUCAAACUCACCCAGGGCUCGGGGGCUACUAUAUAUGACGAUUGCAUAAUCUCAUAAAAUAAAUUCUCCUUGUUAAAGGGUAUUACAUGACUUACCUUGAAUCUAGUCAAGAGGCCGCCGAAAGCCUCCUUCGAUCCACUAUCAAAGAACCGAAUGCUUUGUAAAACUGCGCCAUCAGAGUGUGGUGUUCUUCGAGGAUGGAGGAACUAUUCAAAGCCUCCUCCACCACGGCCGACCACCUAGCUAGUUUUGAGCUGCUCUGCUAUGGGUGGCACUGGUGUCAACACCUUGGCUCCCCCUUCGGUGGGGUCAGAGUGGACGACUCCGGGGGCCUUGGGGCCUCCGAGACCGUCUUCAGAGAGAGCUCGGACCUACUGAGCUCCCCUCUUUGUUUACCAGGAGGGAUCCCCCUUCUGGUCUUUGGCAACUGAGGUAUUUACCUCGGCUUGAUGUCAUUGCCUCCCCCCUCGUGUUUGUCCCAGGAGGGGUAUUCUGGGACAGCACCUCCCCGUUCUCCUUGAUGGUCGAAGGAGGUGUAGUGCACAAUGCGGUCCUGCUCUCUGCCAGCUUGGUUGGCGGGGAGUCCCUUCCGAGACUCGAUCGAUGAAAAGAUUGCGUGGAGGGCUACAAUUAAUGUGAAAGGCAGGCACACGGUUAGUAAUGAUCUUUCUUAAAACGCACGGAGGCGUCUUCGGAUGCAUACCUCUAGGCCGGGGGCUUGACCCUGGGGUUCCUCUAGGGGACCUCUUCGAAAGCCUUGGACUCCUCGGCGGAGUCCAAGCUGUCAUCGGACAAGACCACCUUGGCCCUGCGCUGCUUCUUCGGGGUAGGAGGAGGCUGAUCCUCCUCGGCAUCGUCUGAUGCCACCCUCUUCCGUGUUCGGGAGGAGCCGCUCUCCUCCCUAUCUUCUCCCUGCUCACCCUCAUGAGCGGAAGGGUCUUGGGUUUCCUUGGACUUAGUAUAUAUCCUGGGGUCCUCUUGGGUAGAGGCCUUCUCGGGCCUCCCUUUUCUCGCCCUUCUUCAUCUCCUUCUUCUCCGCAACUUAUACGGCACCACGGCCAAUAUCUCCAUCAGUAAGGCCAUCCUGGGGCCCUCGGGCAGCGGGUUCGGGCCAUCAUCUGCACAGCUUUCUCUAGCCAGCUUUGCAAAUGUGGGGAAGAAGGGGUCAAGUUCCUUGUAAAAUAUAGUAUCCGACCAUAAGAGUAAAACUUUAUUGUACCUCCAGAAGAGGGUGUGCGGCGUUGAGGCUGAUGUCUUCUUCCCUAGCCGACCAGUCCUUCUAGGGCUUGAACAACACCUUCCACAGCUUGUCGUAGGUGGUGCGGUAGAAAAAGAGCACGGUGAAGGGUCUUCGGGCUUGUAGGACUACAUUGGGGCAGCCCGAUGUUGGCAAGGUAGGAGGUGGCGGCGAAGCAUGACCUGAACCAUAUUCGUCAGUUUGACUUUCUUCUUUAUCAUCUGGGAGAUGCGCUUCUGCAGUGACUUGAUACGUCCAUUUUGCAUCAUGUUUUCCUACUGUUAUUUAAGUUGUUCUAUUGUAUAAUAAUGCUUUUUGGAGUAAUACUAAUGCCUUUUAUCUCAUAAUGUGCAAGGUAUGCACCAAGGGGGAGAAUUCUGGCAACUGGAAACCUGGACCUGAAAAAGCUACGUCAAGCUACCUAUUCUGCACAACUCCAAAUAACCUGAAACUCCACGAGGAUUUUUUAUGGAAUACAUAAUAAAUAUUUGAGCAAAUGAGUACCACAGGAGGGCCACCAGGUGGGUGCGCCAGGAGGCCCAGGCGCGCCCUGGUGGGUGCUGCCCCCCUUGGCCCACCUCUAGUGCCCAUCUUCUGGUAUAUAAGUCGUUUUGACCUAGAAAAAAAUUAGGAGUGGACUUUCGGGACGAAGCACCGCCGCCUCGAGGCGGAACUUGGGCAGGAGCACUUUUGCCCUCCAGCGGAGCAAUUCCACUGGGGGAACUUCCCUCCCGGAGGGGGAAAUCAUCGUCGUCAUCAUCACCAACAACUCACCCAUCUUGGGGAGGGCUAUCUUCAUCAACAUCUUCACAGCACCAACUCCUCUCAAACCCUAGUUCAUCUCUUGUGUUCAACCUUUGUCAAAACUAUAGAUUGGUGCUUGUGGGUGGCUAGUAGUGUUGAUUACAUCUUGUAGUUGAUUACUAUAUGGUUUAUUUGGUGGGAGAUUAUAUGUUCAGAUCCAUUAUGCUAUUUAUAACUCCUCUGAUCUUGAGCAUGUUUAUCAUUUGUGAGUAGUAAUUUCGUCCUUAAGGUCACGGGAGAAAUCAUGUUGCAAGUAAUCAUGUGAACUUGAUAUGUGUUCGAUAUUUUGAUGGUAUGUAUGUUGCCAUUCUCUUAGUGGUGUCAUGUGAACGUCAACUACAUGACACUUCAACAUAUUUGGGCCUAAGAGAAUGCAUUGUCGAUUAUUUAUUAGAUGGUUGGUUGUGAGAGUGACAGAAGCUUAAACCCCAGUUUAUGCGCUAUUCCGUAAGGGACCGAUUGGAUCCAAAAGUUUAAUGCUAUGGUUAGAAUUUAUUCUUAAUACUUAUCUCGUAGUUGUGUAUGCUUGCGAGAGUGUUAAUAAUAAGUAGGAGGUUUGUUCAAGUAAGAACAGCACCUAAGCACCGGUCCACCCACAUAUCAAAUUAUCAAAGUACCGAACACGAAUUAAGCCAACAUGAUGGAAGUGACUAGAUGAAAUUCCCAUGUACCCUCAAGAACACUUUGCUUAUCGUAAGAAACUAUUUUGGUAUGUCCUUUCCCUCAAAAGGAUUGGGCUACCUUGCUGCACUUUUGUUGCUACUAUUGUUACUUGAUCAUUACAAAUUAUCUUGCUAUCAAACUACUCUGCUACUUACAAUUUUAGCACUUAGAGACAUUACCUUGCUGAAAACCACUUGCCAUUUCCUUCUGCUCAUUGUUGGGUUCGACACUCUUACUUAUUGAAAAGUUCUACAAUUGACCCCAUACACUUGUGGGUCAAGGAAAUUUUUUGGCGCCGUUGCUGGGGAGUGAAGCACUCUUGGUAAGUGGAAAUUGGUAAGGGAACAUUAUUACUACGUGCUGAAAUUUAUUGUCACUUGCUACUAUGGAAAACAAUCCUUUGAGGGGUUUGUUCGGGGUAUCUUCACCUCGACCGGAACCACAAUUAGUUACCCCUCAACCUACUGCACCUACUGAAAAUAUUGAAUAUGAAAUUCCUUUGGGUAUGUUAAGAGCAACUGCUAGCUAAUCCUUACGCAUGAGAUGGAACCGAACAUCCUGAUAUGCACUUGAUAUAUUUCAUAUGUCGAUGAAAUUUGUGGAUUAUUUAAGCUUGCAGGUUUACCCAGGCAUAAAGCCAAGAAGAAGUUUUUCCCUUUAUCUUUGAAGGGAAAAGAAUUGACAUGGUGUAGGCUAUGCGAUGAUAUUGGAUCUUGGAACUGGAACAGUUUGAAAUUGGGAUUUCGUCAGAAAUUUUUUCGUAUGCAUCUAGUUCAUCAUGAUCGGAAUUAUAUAUGUAAUUUUUGGCCUCGUGAAGGAGAAAGUAUCGCUCUAGCUUGGGGGAGGAUUAAGUCAAUGUUAUAUUCAUGCCCCAAUCAUGAGCUCUCGAGAGAAAUCAUUAUUCAAAAAAUUUAUGCUCGGCUUUCUCGUAAUGAUCAAUCCAUGCUCGAUACUUCUUGUACUGGUUCUUUCAUGAAGAAGAUUAUUGAAUUUUGGUGGGAUCUUUUAGAAAGAAUUAAGCGCAACUCUGAAGAUUGGGAACUCGACGAAGGUACAAAUUUAGGUAUUGAACCUCAGUUUGAUUGUGUUAAAUCUUUUAUGAGUACCGAUGCUUUCUGAAAGUUUAGCACUAAAUAUGGACUUGACUCUGAGAUAGUAGCUUCCUUUUGUAAAUCUUUUUCUACUCGUGUUGAUCUCCCUAAGGAGAAGUGGUUUAAAUAUCACCCACCAAUUAAAAAAGAAGUUAAAUAACCGGAAAAAGCUAAAGAAGAAACUAUCAUUUACAAUGUUGAUCCAGUUGUUCCCACUGCUUAUAUUGAAAAACCUCCUUUUCCUGUUAGGAUGAAAGAACAUGCUAAAGCUUCAACUGCGAUUAACAAAAUUUAUGUUAGAACACCCAAACCUUAUGAACAAAUCAAAGUUGAACCUAGUGUUGCUAUGGUUAAAGAUCUCUUAGUUGAUAAUAUUGAUGGGCAUGUUAUUUACUUCUAUGAUGAAGCUUCUAGAAUUGCUAAACCUGAAGGAAAAGAUAACCAUAGACCAGUUGUUGGCAUGCUUGUUGUCUCAGUUAAGAUAGGGGAUCACUGUUAUCAUGGGUUAUGUGACCUAGGUGCUAGUGUGAGUGCUAUUUCUUAUUCCUUAUACGAAGAAAUUAAAGAUGAAAUGGCACCUGCUGAAAUAGAAGACAUAGAUGUCACUAUUAAACUUGUUAAUAGAGAUACCAUAUCACCAAUUGGGAUUCUUAGAGAUGUUGAAGUCUUGUAUGGGAAAAUAAAAUACCCUACUGAUUUUCUUGUUCAUAGCACCCCACAAGAUGACUUUUGUCCCAUUAUUUUUGGUAGACCUUUCUUAAACACCGUCAAUGCUAGAAUAGAUUGUGAGAAACAAACUAUCGGUGUUAGCUUUGGUAAUGAAUCUCAUGAGUUUAAUUUUUCCAAGUUUAGUAAACAACCUCAUAAGAAAGAUUUGCCUAGUAACAAUGAAAUUAUUGGUCUUGCUUCUAUUGUUGUGCCUGCUACUGAUCCUUUGGAACAAUAUUUGCUAGACCAUGAAAAUGAUUUGCAUAUGCGUGAAAGAAAUGAAAUAGAUAGAAUCUUUUCCAAUAACCACCUCAGCUUAAACACAAUCUACCUAUUGAAACUUUAGGAGGUCCUCCUCCACCUAAAGGUGAUCCUGUAUUUGGAUUAAAACAAUUGCCAGAUACUUUGAAAUAUGCUUAUCUUGAUGAAAAGAAGAUAUAUCCUGUUAUUAUUAGUGUUAACCUUUCAGAACAUGAAGAAGAAAGAUCAUUGAAAGUUCUAAGGAAGCACAGGGCUGCUAUUGGAUAUACUCUCAAUGAUCUUAAGUGCAUUAGUCCCACUCUAUGUCAGCACAAGAUUAAUGUGGAACCUGAUACUAAACCCGUUGUUGAUCACCAAUGUCGGUUAAACCCGAAAAUGAAAGAAGUGGUAAGAACUGAAAUAUUGGAACUUCCGGAAGCAGGUAUAAUCUAUCCUAUAGUUGAUAGUAGAUGGGUAAGUCUUGUUCAUUGUGUCCCUAAGAAGGGAGGUAUUACUGUUGUUCCUAAUGAUAAGAAUGAGCUUAUUCCAAAAAGAAUUGUCACGGGCUAUAGAAUGGUAAUUGAUUAUAGAAAAUUAAAUAAAGCUACUACAAAAGAUCAUUACCCUCUGCCUUUUAUCGAUCAAAUGUAAGAAAGAUUAUCUAAGAACACACAUUUUUGCUUCCUUGAUGGAUACUCUGGCUUCUUAGAAAUACCUGUUUUACAAUCUAAUCAAGAAAAGACCACUUUUACUUGUCCUUUUGGAACCUUUGCUUAUAGACGUAUGCCUUUCGGUUUAUGUAAUGCACCUGCUACCUUUCAAAGAUGUAUGCCUGCUAUAUUCUCUGAUUUUUGUGAAAAGAUUGUUGAGGUUUUCAUGGAUGACUUUUUUGUUUAUGGGAAGUCUUUUGAUGAUUGUUUAAGCAAUCUUUAUCGAGUUUUGCAGAGAUGUGAACAAACAAAUCUCAUCUUGAAUUGGGAGAAGUGCCACUUUAUGGUUAAUGAAGGUAUUGUCUUGGGCCAUAAAAUUACUGAAAGAGGCGUUGAGGUGGAUAAAGCCAACAUUGAUGCAAAUGAGAAAAUGCCAUCUCCUAAAGAUAUCAAAGGUAUUUGUAGUUUCCUUGGUCAUGCUGGUUUCUAUAGGAAGUUUAUCAAAGACAUCUCUAAAAUUUCUAGGCCUCUUACUAAUCUUUUGCAAAAGGAUAUUCCCUUUGUGUUUGAUGAUGAUUGCAUGGAAGCCUUUGAAACACUAAAUAAAGCCUUAAUCACUGCACCUGUUGUUCAACCACCUGAUUGGAACUUGCCUUUUGAGAUUAUGUGUGACUAGUGAUUAUGUUGUUGGUGUUGUUCUAGGACAAAUAGUUGAUAAGAAAACUAAAUGUUAUUCAUUAUGCUAGUAGAACUCUAGACAAUGCUCAACGAAACUAUGCUACUACUGAAAAAGAAUUCUUAGCAGUGGUGUUUGCUUGUGAUAAAUUCAAAUCUUAAAUUGUUGAUUCUAAAGUAAUUGUUCACACCGAUCAUGCUGCUAUAAAAUAUCUUAUGGAAAAGAAAAUGCUAAACCUAGACUCAUUAGGUGGGUUCUUCUGCUACAAGAAUUUGACGUGCAUAUCACUGAUAGGAAAGGAGCAGAGAACCCCGUAGCUGAUAACUUGUCUAGACUUAGAAAUAUUCUUGAUGACCCACAACCAAUUAAUGAUAGCUUCCCUCUCAUGAACAACUAGCUACAAUAAAUGUUUCUCAUAGUACACCUUGGUAUGCUGACUAUGCUAAUUAUAUUGUUGCUAAAUACAUAACACCUAGCUUCACAUACCAACAAAAGAAAAAAUUCUUCUAUGAUUUAAGACAUUACUUUUGGGAUGACCCACAUCUUUAUAAAGGAGUGAUAUGGCACAUCCAAUACCAGUCACACCUAGUGCACCGCCUAUGCCAACCAUUGAUAAUCGUGUGGAGACAUACGCGGUCAUUGGAGAGGCGAUUAUGCCGGUUGACAAGAUAUUAAACACGAAAGAGGUGCUGAAGGAGGACGGGCAACAUAAGAAAAGCAACAUUUUGUUUCAGUUCAUAGAGGCCUUGAUGGUCACCUUCGAGGACUAUGUGGUAUAGGUAUUGCGCCGGUCAUAAUUAAUAAUGGGAUUAAUAAUGGGAGAAGGCAUAUUGAGUAUAAUGUACCAGUACAAAAGAGGGACAUUUGUCAGUUGGCAUACAUGAAUUUACAUUGGUCUAUGGGCACAUAUGAGCAUGCACAUAGCAUGCAUAAUAGAAGUAUUGGUGGUUAUACACGUUUGAGCAAAACAAAUCAGAUUGCCUUCCUAUAUAAUAGGAAACAGAAUCAAUUUUGUUAUACAAGGAAGUAUGGACGUGAGAUAGAAGAGGAUGAGGCACAAGUCAAAGUCGACCCUAACUUCCGCACGCCGCCUCAGUGGCCUCUAUUUACAUGCUGAAAGUCAGUUUAUAGGGCAAUAAAUAUUUAAUUAUCUUUUUCCUUACGUAGCAAGAAGUCCUAUUCGGUUAGGAUUUAUUGUGCAUGCGUGCACAAUAAAAGGCCGGUCGGCCAUGUAAAAAAGGUUAGGUUAUUUUUCUUCGGUUUAGACAACAUGCGUAUCGACUAUUAAGCGGACCUCUUUGGGUGUCAUCAUUAUUUAUUUUGUGUGAAUUUUCUGCGUGAAAGUUGCACUUGGCUCGAGGUCCGUCGUCACCGACGGGUUGCGCGCUGGUUACGUCUACUACGGGGGGAAGUUCCUCGUGUGUCGAGGGAUUGUCUAUUGGUCGUCGUCAUCCCUGGUUAAGGUUACACGUACUGCUCGUGUAAUUGGGAGUAUUUUUUAUCGGUGGAUUUUGGAGGUUAUUGCAUCGUAAAAGAUCGGGCGAUAUCAGCGGCACAACCGAGGUCAUUCCCUCAUCAGUUGGUUCAAGAUUACUAGGUUUAUUACGGUGCAAUCUUUUUCCUCAUAAUUUAUUCAUAUAGAUCCUAGAACUACGAUGAGAACGGAACACUACUUUGAUGGUGAGAUGUCCCUGAGUGAGCAGGACCCAUCACGGGCCCUUUCUUGGUUUUAGAUUUACACACGAGUACAAGUGAGAGGAAUUUCUUGUGGUACGAUGAUGGAUCGUUGUUCAAAAAUAAAUUUGACCAGUUAAACAGUAUUUGAUGCUUUGAAGCUGUCCUUGAUGGAUCAUCCUGAUCCAUAUAGGCUCUCGUGGCAGGGAAAAUUCCUAACUAUCAAACAUCAAGUGAAGGUACGCUUCAAAUUAUGUGGACACACCGACUUGGUCAUUUGUGAUGUUCUUCCCCAUCAUAUGCAUGUAUGUUCGUUGAUUUUGGGCCAACCAUGGACAAAGAAGCGGGAUCUGCGGAUUGAUAAAUCUGUCACUUUUUCUUGGAGAAAAAUUAAAUUUUUCCAUGAAGGACAGUGGGCACCUUUUGAAGCAUACAAUUCUAAAGAAUAUUUGGAAGAUCGUCAGCGACGCAAUCAUGCACAGGCUGCAAUUGAUGUAAAGGAACAACAAGAAAAGAUGGUGUUGUUAGAAAAUAGAAAGACUGAGGAUGGUGUUGUUAUCACUAAAAUUAUGUCUGCACAUGAAGAGAAACAGGAGAACAGGGCAGUACCACCGAGUGGGUUGAAUGUACAACUUAAAAGGGUAGAUGGUGGACAUAGCAUGGCAGUGAGUGGAGGUCAAUGCACAAGUUUAUUUCAGACUCAGUGUGAUAUUAAGGGUACAACGUGCAAGUUAAUAAUUGAUGGAGGUAGCUGCACUAAUGGCGUCAGCAAGACAUUGGUGGAAAAGCUUAGUUUGUCCACAUGGCGAUAUGAAGAACCAUAUCAUUUGGAGUGGUUGAACAAUUGUGGAAAGCUCAAAAUUACACAUAAGGUGCGUGUACCAUUUUCAGUUGGGCAGUAUGUCGAUGAGGUGGAAUGCGAUGUUUUGCCGCAGGAAGUCUGUGGUUUGUCAAUAUGACCGCAGUGUGCAGCAUGCUGGAAGGAGCAACACAUACACUUUUAUUCAUGAUGGGAGGCAAAGGAUACUGAAAUCAAUGGAUGAGAAAUUAAUCUGCUCAAAUGUGGUAUUGCCGGUGUGGAAGGAGGGGGCUCUCAAGAACAACAUGAAACCGAGGACGGUUUCUCUUCAAGUGGGGGAGGAUGAUGUGGCACAUCCAAUACCAAUCACACCUAGUGCACCGUCUAUGCCAACCCUUGAUAAUCGUGUGGAAACAUACGCGGUCAUUAGAGAGGCGAUUAUGUCGGUUGACAAGAUAUUAAACACGAAAUAGGUGUUGAAGGAGGACGGGCAACAUAAGAAAAGCAACAUUUUGUUUCAGUUCAAUAGAGGCCUUGAUGGUCACCUUCAAGGACUACGUGAUAUGUAUUGCCCCGGUCAUAAUUAAUAAUGGGAUUAAUAAUGGGAGAAGGCAUAUUGAGUAUAAUGUACCAGUACAAAAGAGGGACCUAUGUCAGUUGGCGUACAUGAAUUUACAUUGGUCUAUGGGCACAUAUGAGCAUGCACGUAGCAUGCAUAAUAGAAGUACUGGUGGUUAUACACCUUUGAGCAAAACAAAUCAGAUUGCCUUCCUAUAUAAUAGGAAACAGAAUCAAUUUUGUUAUAGAAGUACGGACAUGAGAUAAAAGAGGAGGAGGCACAAGUCAAAGUCAAUCCUAACUUCCGCACGCCGCCUCAGUGGCCUCUAUUUACACGCUGAAAGUCAGUUUAUAGGGCAAUAAAUAUUUAAUUAUAUUUUUCCUUACGUAGCAAGAAGUCCUAUUCGGUUAGGAUUUCUUGUGCCUGCGUGCAUAAUAAAAGGCCGUCGGCCAUAUAAAAAGGUUAGGUUAUUUUUCUUCGGUGUAGACAACAUGUGUAUUGACUAUUAAUUAAGCGACCCUCUUUGGGUGUCGUCGUUAUUUAUUUUGUGUGAAUUUUCUAUGUGAAAGUUGCACUUGGCUCGAGGUCCGAUGUCACCGACGGGUUGCGCGUUGGUUACAUCUACUAUGGCGGGAAAUUCCUCCUGUGUCGAGGGAUUGUCUGUUGGUCAUCGUCACCCCUGCCUCAGGUUACACGUACUGCUCGUGUAAUUGGGAGUAUUUUUUAUCGGUGGAUUUUGGAGGUUAUUGCAUCGUAAAAGAUCGGGCCAUAUCAGCGGCACAACCGAGGUCGUGCCCUCAUCAAGUAGAAGAUGGUAUUAUUAGACAUUUGGUACCUAAGCAUGAACAGGAACAAAUCCUAUAGAAAUGUCACCCCGAAUCUUAUGGAGGACAUCACGCGGGAGAUAGAGCAGCUCAUAAGGUAUUGCAAUAUGGUUUUUAUUGGCCUACUCUCUUCAAGGAUGCCCGUAGUUCGUCUCAUCAUGUGAUGAAUGCCAAAGAAUAGGUAAUAUCGGUAAGCGUCAAGUAAUGCCUAUGAAUUAUUCACUUGCUGUUGAACCAGUUGAUGUUUGGGAAUUUGACUUUAUGGGACCUUUUCCUUCCUCUAAUGGUCACACACAUAUUUUGGUUGUUGUUGAUCAUGUUACUAAGUGGGUAGGAGGUAUUCCAACCAGUAGUGUUGAUCACAACACCUCUAUUAAAAUGCUAAAGGAAGUUAUUUUCCCAAGGUUUGGAGUCCCUAGAUAUUUAAUGACUGAUGGUGGUUCACACUUUAUUCAUGGUGCUUUCCGUAAGAUGCUUGCUAAGUAUGAUGUUAACCAUAGAACUGCGUCACCUUAUCAUCCUCAGUCUACUGGUCAAGUUGAACUUAGCAAUAAAGAAAUAAAACUAAUCUUACAAAAGACAGUUAAUAGGUCCCGGAAGAAUUGGUCUAAGAAAUUAGAUGAUGCACUUUGGGCUGAUAGAACAGCUUACAAAAAUCCUAUGGGUAUGUCUCCAUAUAAAAUGGUUUAUGGAAAAGCUUGCAUUUACCUCUUCAGUUAGAACACAAAGCAUUUUGGGCAAUAAAAGAACUCAACUAUGAUUUCAAACUUGCUGGAGAAAGAGGUUAUUUGAUAUUAUCUCAUUAGAUGAAUGGAGAACCUAGGCUUGUGAAAAUGCUAAGUUAUUCAAAGAAAAAGUUAAAAGAUGGCAUGACAAAAGAAUCCAAAAGCGUGAGUUCAAAGUCGGAGAAUAUGUUCUUUUGUACAACUCUCCUUUCAAAUUUUUUGCAGGAAAACACCUCUCCAAAUGGGAAGGACCCUAUGUCAUCGAGGAGGUCUAUCAAUCCGGAGCUAUCAAAAUAAAUAAUGCCGAAGGGACUAACCCGAAGGUUGUCAAUGGGAAACGAAUAAAACACUAUAUCUAGGUAUGCCCAUUAAUGUUGAAAGCAAUGUUAUCCAAACUUUGACACCAGAAGAACACAAAAAAGAGUCCUUCCGGAACACUCCAAAAUCGUGAAAAUAAAGGGAGGUACGUGAUACGGUAAGUAAAAGGACUCCGAAAAAUCCGCAAAAAUAUUUUCUGUCAGUUUUGGAAUAUUUAGAAAAUUAGGAAAAUAAGAAACUUCCAGGAAAGUGACCCUGGUGGGCACGAUACACCAGUGUGCACCAGGCAUGCAUGGCACACCCAGGUGGGUUGUGCCCACCUUGGGUACUUUUCGGUCUCCGUUUUUCUUCCAUUCUGCUUGUUCUCCAAGAUAAAAAAAUCCUCUCAAACCUGUUAACCUUUGUAUUGCGGAGAAAUCUUCUGUUUUCUUUCCUUGUUGUUUCUCUGACAGAUAUGAAAUUAUGUCGUCUCAAAACUCGGAGGGUGAGAGCUACGUUGUUGAUUAUAUUGGAAACUCCAAGGUAUAUGGGGAUGUGGAGCACUAUAGCUGGACUUCGAAGGAAGAAGAAGACUAUGAGCCUAAGAGGAAGGAGGAUACGAGCUCAGAGGAAUACGAAGUCCCAUUGCCCCAACUUGGGGACAUGCACAUUGAACUUAAGAAAUCGAGUUUCCCAAAUAAAGCAAAGAAGCCUAAGAUCCAGUUUAUCCCCUUUCGUCUUUUGCAGGAAUGCAAGCAAGAUUUAUGCAACAAGGUAUUGGAACUUGAGUGGGAGAUCAACGAACUGAAAGAUGAGAAUUCCGUCCUCAAGCGUAAGCUAAGGAAGAAAGACAAGAAACCUUCUACUUCAUCACCAUCAUCUUCUUCAUCACCACCAAAAGAAAACUGAGUAUUGUGUAUGGGCACUCCCCUUUGCUUUCGCCAAGCUUGGGGAAGGUUCCCCGGUAUCGUAUCAUCCCUACUACCUUUUGCCUUUACUUUCAUAGUUCGAUCCAUGGUUAUAUUUUGCUAUUAGAUGAAUAAAAGUUUAGUUUUAUCCUUUGUUUUUGUGAGUUUGCUUAGUGAUCAAUCCUUGUAAUCAUGUUCGAGAUAUAAUAAAGUUUAGUUUGAGUUUUACCUUCUUUACUUUCUUGCUGCAAUAAAAAGAAAGGAAAUAAAAGAAAAAGAUCAUAUGCUAAUCUUAUGGUAAGUGAUGACAUUACACAAGGAAAAGUAUAUGUAGAAAAUUUUAUUGUAGAUUGACAAACAUAGCAUUGGUCAAUGAUGCAACACAUGAAAGAAUUAACAAGGGAAGAGAAGAUUCACAUAUAAAUACACUAUCAUGGAAAUCUUUUGUGAUUGUGAGCACCCAUCAAAAUAUUAUAUGCCAAAAUUGUUGACGUUGGACAAGGAAGACAACUUAAUGAUUUAUGUUUGUUCGUAUUCACAUAGAAGUUAUAUUGUCAUAGAUCCUUCAACAUAUGGUCCUUGCCCCUAUCUUUGCUAGCCAAAAAUUCCGCACUAAGUAGAAAUACUACUUGUGCAUCCAAAACCCUUAAACCCUAUAUUGUUCGAGAGUCCACCAUACCUACAUAUGGAUUGGGUAAGAUCCUUCAAGUAAGUUGUAAUCGGUGCAAAAAGGGCAAUAAAAAUUGCUUAUAAAAAUGUGAGAUCAUUUAGUGUAAGGGAAAAUUGAGCGUUGUACGAACUUGUGAUGGUGAAGAAUAAAAGCCACAGAGUGCAUAAUAAAGUUUUACAUCAUAAGGGGCAUUAUAAUGUGACGUUCUCUUGCACUAAGGGGUUGAGCAUACAAACAAAAAGGGCAUGGCAACCUAUGCUUACCUCUGUGAAGGGCCUAUCUUUUACUUUCAUAUUUACUUUUAUGCAAGAGUCAAAGUUUUUCUCUCUAUUCCUUUUUUCUCCUUUGGCAAGCAUCAUGUGGUGAGGAAAGAUCUAGGCACAUAUGUCUGGUUGAAUAUGGGUAGCAUAAGUUAUUAUUGUUGACAUCACCCUUGAGGUGAGUGUGUUGGGAGGCGAAACUAUAAUCCCCCAUCUUUCUUUGUGUCCGAUUGAAACGUUUUGCUCAUGUCUACACGGUGAGUGCUAGCAAUCAUAGAAGACUAAAUGAUGGUUGAGUAUGUGGACUUGCUUAAAGGCUCUGAUACGUGACCCUUCCUGAAAAGAUGAUGAAUUGUAGUUGCAAAGUUGACUGAGAACAUAGUUUGUUAGUUUACAAUAGAGUUUAUGCUUUAUACUUCAAUGUUGUGAUGAAUUGUCACUUGUUCAUGAGAAGUCUAUGAUAAAAGUUCUAUAAUAAAAUUUUAUAUUGAAGUUUUUUGUUGUUAUAAUAAGUCACAUGAUGUUGUUAUGUCGUAUUUUUGUUUUUGUUGACACCUCUCUCUCUAAGCAUGUGGACAUGUUUCUCGAUUUCGGUUUUCGCUUGAGAACAAGCGAGGUGUAAGCUUGGGGGAGUUGUACGUCCAUUUUGCAUCAUGUUUUCUACUAUUAUUUAUGUUGUUUUAUUGUAUCAUAUAAUGAUUUUUGGAGUAAUUAUAAUGCCUUUUCUCUCAUAAUGUGCAAGGUAUGCACCAAGGGGGAGAAUUCUGGCGGCUGGAAAUCUGGACCUGAAAAAGUUAUGUCAAGCUACCUAUUCUGCACAACUCAAAAUGAGCUGAAACUCCCCAAGGAUUUUUUAUGGAAUAUAUAAUAAAUAUUUGAGCAAAUAAGUACCAGAGGAGGGCCACCGGGUGGGCACAACCCACUUGGGCGCGCCAGGAGGCCCAGGCACGCCCUGGUGGGUGCUGCCCUCCUCGGCCCACCUCUGGUGCCCAUCUUCUAGUAUAUAAGUCAUUUUGACCUAGAAGAAAUCAGGAGAGGACGGGACGAAGCGCCGCCGCCUCGAGGUGGAACUUGGGCAGGAGCACUUUUGCCCUCCAGCGGAGCGAUUCUGCCGGGGGAACUUUCCUCCCGGAGGGGGAAAUCAUCGCCAUCAUCAUCACCAACAACUUUCCCAUCUUGGGGAGGGCUAUCUUCAUCAACAUCUUCACAGCACCAACUCCUCUCAAACCCUAGUUCAUCUCUUGUGUUGAAUCUUUGUGUCAAAACUAUAGUUGGUGCUUGUGGGUGGCUAGUAGGGUUGAUUACAUCUUGUAGUUGAUUACUAUAUGAUUUAUUUGGUGGGAGAUUAUAUGUUCAGAUCCAUUAUGCUAUUUAAUACCCCUCUGAUCUUGAGCAUGUUUAUCAUUUGUGAGUAGUCACUUUCGUUCUUGAGGUCGCGGGAGAAAUCAUGUUGCAAGUAAUCAUGUGAACUUGAUAUGUGUUCGAUAUUUUGAUGGUAUGUAUGUUGCCAUUCUCUUAGUGGUGUCAUGUGAACGUCGACUACAUGACACUUCGCCAUAUUUGGGCCUAAGGGAAUGCAUUGUGGAGUAGUUAUUAGAUGGUGGGUUGCGAGAGUGACAGAAGCUUAAACCCCAAUUUAUGCACUAUUCCAUAAGGGACUGAUUGGAUCCAAAAUUUUAAUGCUAUGGUUAGAAUUUAUUCUUAAUACUUAUCUCGUAGUUGUGGAUGCUUGCGAGAGGGUUAAUCAUAAGUAGGAGGUUUGUUCAAGUAAGAAUAGCACCUAAGCACCGGUCCACCCACAUAUCAAAUUAUCAAAGUACCGAACACAAAUUAAGCCAACAUGAUGAAAGUAACUAGAUGAAAUUCCCGUGUACCCUCAAGAACACUUUGCUUAUCAUAAGAAACCAUUUUGGCCUGUCAUUUGCCUCAAAAGGAUUGGACUACCCUGCUGCACUUUUGUUACUACUAUUGUUACUUGCUCGUUACAAAUUAUCUUGCUAUCAAACUACUCUGCUACUUACAAUUUUAGCACUUGCAGACAUUACCUUGUUGAAAACCACUUGUCAUUUCCUUCUGCUCCUCGUUGGGUUUGACACUCUUACUUAUUGAAAAGUGCUACAAUUGACCCCAUACACUUGUGGGUCAUCAUGACUCCACCUCCGUUGGCGACCCCCAGUCUAGGCCCUUCUUGGUCCAUGGCACCAGCCUUGUGGGAGGUCCGAUAUGAAUUUUGAGGCUCCUGCACAGCUGGCGCCACGUGGUUCGGUGAUAUAAAACCUGUCUUUUUGCCAGAUUUUGAUGGUAUCUAUGAAGGUACCUUCCGGCCACUCGACCCGGGGGAGCUUGCUAAUCAUCGUCCCUCCAAACACUACAAAAAGAAGACACAACCGUGACAUUUUGGGUCGAACGAAAAAAAUUCUAUCAUACUUAUGACACUUCUAUGAUGAUAAUUGUGACAAAACCCGGUAUCAUCGUAGAUGUGGUGGGCUCCUACUUCUAUGACAAAAAAUCAUGAUAGAAAAUGGGCUUUUAGUCCUGGGCGGGCUACAGACGUAGCUGCAUGACAUUCUUUGGGCCGUCCAUGACGGAAAAAACUGUGGUAGAAGCGAGGGCGAGGAAAAUUUUGGGGAGUUCCCGGUUACGAUGGGUGGUCGGGGUCGAGCGAUGCGCGUUUCUCUCAUACACGUACGCGCGUGUGUGCGAGGCGUUGGGAUCUAACUGAACCCGAGCAAGGCGUCGCCUAACUGAAUCCGAGCGAUUGCACUACAGGCUACGCGUUACUGAACCCAAGUGAUCGACUGAUUCCUUCGCUACUGUUGCUAACUAAAGCCGAUCGAUGCUACCUCUGGAUGAACAGUGAGCGUUGCAGGGGGGUGGAUGAACAGUGAGCAGUGGGGUGGAUGACCAGGACCCCGUGGUGUUGCCUCUGGAUGAACAGGACCCCGAUCGAUCGAGCCGGUUGGGGCAGGAUGAACAGGACCCCGUGGAGGGCUGGAUGAACAAGACGACCCCGCGGAGGGUUGGAUGAACGGUAGUCGGUGGAGGGGUGGAUGAACAGUAGCCCGUGGAGGGGUGGUUGAACAGGAGCCCAUGGAGACGGGUGGUUGAACAGUAGCCGGUGGAGUAGCGCGCGGUGGAGGCUGAAUGAACAGGAGCCCGUGGAUGAACAGGAGCCCGUGGAGGCUGGAGGAGGUCGACGGUGGAUGAAUAGUAGCCCGUGGAGGCUGGAGGAGGUCGACGGUGGAGAUGAACAGUAUCCCGUGGAGUCCUGUUUUGCGGUACGCCACACCCCUCCCGAUGAACAGGACCCCCGUUUCGACCGUAGCGCUCCAACACAAGUCCAUUUCAUCCGUUUUGCGGUACGCCACACCCCUCCCGAUCAACAGGACCCCGUUUCGACCGUAGGAGGUCCAACACAAGUCCGUUUCCUCCGUUUUGCGGUACGCCAGACCCCUCCCGAUGAACAGGAUCCUGUUUCGAACGUGGCCGGUCGAACACAAGGCUGUUUCCUCUGUUCUGCGGUACGCCAGGCCUCGUUUCCAUCACCUGUUCCGUCCAAGCCCUCCCAAUGAACAUGAAGACACAUUCCAUUCUGACCCAGCCGGUUGGCUCCCCAUGAACACGAUGACAAUGAUGUUUCUCCGUUCCAACUCAGCCAUGUACACGAGCCCUGGCCGUACGUAUAUAUGCGCGAGUAGGCAUUCGAGACCCCACCCAUAUGUACAUACGUGACCGUAUUUUCUUUCGUGCACACUGGCUGCUGUAUGUACAUGUACAUGCUACGUGCACGCCUCUACUACGACACGUGCGCGCCUCUACGUACACAUUCGCGACCAGAAUGACAACGCUACGUACACUUCGACCAGGUGGGUCCUGACUGUCAGGAACUUCCUUUCGUGCGAAGAUGUAGAUGGUGGGUCCCAGGAGUCAGGGGGGCGAAUCGUUUUUUUAUUUUUUGCCCGGACGCACUUCCUUGCGUGUGAAGAUGUAGCUGGUGGGUCCCAGCAGUUAGGGGGGCGAAUUGUUUUUUUUUCGGACGCACUUCCUUGCGUGCGAAGAUGUAUCUGGUGGGUCCCAGCAGUCAGGGGGGAAACGUUUUUUUUUCACGAAAUACGGUGGCCCGUCCGGUGGGUCCCUGCUGUCAGGUGGAGGAAUCAUUAUUUUGCGCAUAAUAAGGAGGCAGUUCCUUGCUGCGGUCAUGGACCCAGCUGUCAGCCUCUCCACGUACAGUCCGCGUCCGAUGGAAGUCGUUCCUUGACCAUGUUGACCACGCCGUGCCGAGAGCACUAGGGCGGUGGAUGACGGUGAGUUCUAGGAAGGGGAAGACGCGACAGUGGAUGCCCACGCGUAGAGGAGUAUGAGGGUUCAUUGGUUCUGCUACGGUGUGAGGCUGUCGUCACCGCAGAAUAACAGGGGGUGUGGGUGAGUAGAGGGAUGGCCUGGCCAGCGGUGGGAGUAGUAGGGGGGCAUGAGGCCUCUGCGGCAUCAUAGCCGGCCCCGGGAGGCAAGAGCAUGCGGCACGACCAGCGCUGCUUUGGGCGGCUGGAGCAAGAAUACCAGAGGUUGAAGAAGCACUACAGCCGUUGGAUGGACACCGUACGGUCAUUGGAGUUAGAAUCGUUCAUAUUGACUAAAGUUGACAAAGGCCUCCAUACCAGUCAACUUAGUAGGCCCACAAGUCAGCCUCCCACCAAGGUGGGUCCCAGCUAGCACGGGGUAUUCAUUUUUUUGUGCGUAAUAAGGAGGCACUUCCGGUGGGUCCGAGCUGACAGCAGGGGGAACGUUUUUUUCGCGAAAUACAGUGGCCCGUCCGGUGGGUCCCAGCAGUCAGGGAGAAACGUUUUUUCGCGAAAUACUGGUGGCCCGUCCGGUGGGUCCCUGCUAUCAGGUGGAGGAAUAAUUAUUUUCCUCGUAAUAAGGAGGCACUUCCUUGCGGCUGCCGUGGACCCAGUUGUCAGCCUCUCCACGUACAGUACUCUUCCGAUGGAAGUCGAUCGUUGACCACAUUGACCACGCCGCGCCGAGAGCACCAGGGCGGUGGACGACGGCGAGGCCUAGGAAGGGGACUACGCGGAGCUGGGGAAGACACGGCAGCGGAAGCCCGCGCAGAGAGGAGUACAAGGGUUCACUAGUUCGGUUGCGGUGUGAGGCUGCCGGCACCGCAGAAUAACAGGGGGUGUGGGUGAGUAGAGGGAUGCCCUGGCCAGCGGUGGGAGUAGUACGGGACGCUGAGGCCUGUGCGACAUCACAGCCGGUCACGGGAGGUGGGAGCAGGCGGUCCCGCUGGCGCUGCUUUGGCGGCUGGAGCAAGAAGAUCAGAGAUUGAAGAAACACGACGGCCGUUUGAUUGACAUCCAACGGUUACAUGGGCUAGAAUCGUUUGUUGACGUAUAUAAUAACUAAAGAAAUCUUGCCUACGUGUCAACUUAAUAGGCCCACAAGUCAAACCACUCCCUCUUUUUUUUAAUAAUUUAUAUAUAGCUCAUUGCAACUUCUUAUGCAAUUUAUUGGAGUCAUUUUUUUGGUUGGCCAGGGCCAAUUUCGCAUAUUUCUGUGGGUUCCAAACUAUUUUUAAUACCAAAAUGUCGAGCCAGAUUUAAAGUACUUUGAAGAUAUAUUUAAAUUAGGUUAAUGCCCAGUGAAAUAGGAAUCUGAAAAUGUGAAAAAAAAAUCAGAAAUUAUAAAGUAAUUGCCAAUUUGUCAUCUGUUUUUAUAUUUACAACCCAUUUCAUAUUACUUUCAAGAUUUGCAGGCGUCUUGAAAGAGUUGCAGCCCAUCAGGGCAUAGAAAAAUAAGUAGGCCUGGAUUAGGUAUUCUUCAGAAAAAAUAAACUAGGCUCAUUUUCACAAAGAAAAAAUAGCUAGGCUAGUCACAUGGUGAACAUAAAAUAUAAGCCUGGGCUAGACGGGCCACAACCCAGUUCAAACCUUGCUCCGUCUCAAGAAUAACAAAAAAAAGUACUGCUCGAGCAGCUACGUCCCAGGUGUCAGCCGAUCUUGUGCUGUUCUCUUGUCUAUUGACUAUAUACGCUCACAAUGUCAUGGGUCCCAGAUGUUAGGAAAACACUAGGAGGAAGCAUUUUAUUUUUCCAUACGCUGACAUGGUGGGUCCCUACUGUCAUCCUCUCCACAUACUUCUGCCGAUUCCUGUUGUUUGUUAACCAUGUUGACAACACGAGAGGGCGGAGCCGCGGCGAGCGCACCAAAGUGCGUGGAGGACGUAGGUGUUAACGAUUUAGGAGACGGUGGGGCGGUGAUCGUGCGCUGAGGCGCAACUAGCCGUGGAAGGCGGAAGCAGGCGGCCCCGCCGGCGCUGGUUUGGUUUUGGCGGCUGGAGGAAGACAUGACUGAAGAAACACGACAGACUAUAAAAGCAGCAGGAGUACUUAACAACCUUAACUGAAACCAGCAGGGGCACUUAACAACCAAAGUUGAAAGCAGUAUGAGUACUUAUACAGGUUCAACUAUACAAAGCACGCCUCGAACAGUGCUACUUUGCCUACAGUUAACCAAGGGUGAGGCCGCCAAGCCCCAGGACAAGGCCCAGGUGCCACCCCGCACAUCCACAACCUUCUGAAAGCGGCUUCAUCUCGCAAUGUGGUCAAUAAACAGGAUAUUCGCUUUAGAGCCAUGGAAAAGCAUGAACAUAAUCUUCUGUCCUAUUCUCCAAGAUGGACGGGCCUUCAUUAUUUUAGACCACCCAUGAAUAAGUAUCUUUUCACCUCCAAGGGGAAUGGAGUAGGUCGACAUAAACAUCAUGUUGUGACCAAGGGCAAGUCUAGCCCGACCAUGGUCAGGCAUCUAUAUAGGAACAAUAGAACUGGGCAGUUUCUGUUUCAAGAAGAUCACAUCUGUAAAAUUGUGUAUAAGCAAUAGUUUAUGAACAACAUAUAUAACAGAAAAUAGCUCAUACCAUAAGUUUCUUGACACAGUUGGACCUGUUCAACGAGUGCAGCAGUGGCACACAUGUCCCACGUGGCCUUCCACCAUUGAAACGCCCCACAAGGACCUCAAGACGAUCAAUAAAGUGUAGGAACCUGUGGAUGUCGUCCCAGUCAACUUCAGUGCCAUCAGUAACAGCCAAGUUAUUACAGAAUAACAAACGAGCAGCCUGCUUAACUCUGAAAAAACCUACAUGUGCCACCAAUUAUAAGAAAAUAUUAGUUAGAAGUAGCAUCUUCAUGAGAGAUUCGUUGCUACUUCUAAAGUUAAAUUGUGAUUAGUUAGACAGAAUAGUUGGGUUAAGAAGUAAUCGAGGCUACAAGGAAGAACCAGAUACAAAACUAACAUGGAUGAAUAAUUGGAAUGACGUCGGGGUGGAAGAUCGCAGUGAAAAUGAGACCAGGUUCUGCUAUUUCCAUCAACAUUCAUGUGCCAACUUUAAGUCCGUAACACUUGAGAAAGUUUAUCCAAGUUCGGCCAUAAAAAAGCAGCGAUCUUCUUGGUUCAUGAACCCAACUCGGAACUUAUAUCCAUGGCUUGUCUUCAUUGUGACCAUUAAACUAGUGUAUUCAGUUAUGGCAAGGCCGAGCAUCUUGAGUACAUGUGUUCUGGCAGAGCAAACAAUGCACUGCAGGAAAAAUAAUAUGAGAACACAAUGUAUUCCCUAUCCAAAUCUAGAAAUAACUUCCUCCUUCACGUCAGUGUUGACCAUCGUACUUGUAGUACCUUUUAUCUAAAUAUAGCAAUCCAAAUUUCCAAAUUAGUCGACAACAUGUUCAAAAAAACCCCACCCUACCGGAUAGAAAAGAGGAUUCUAGGAACAUAUUGUGCGCGGUUUAAAAUACUGUGUUAGGAUGAGAAGGAAAAAGUGUGGCGUCUUGCCGGGGGCGCAGAAACCUGUAGGGUCCUCGCACUUUGGGCACUGCAAAUGAAACACACUAGAUUCAGUAGGAAGAAAAAUGCAUCAACGGCGGCGGCUGCCAUCCUAGGAUUACCUGCGACCAAGGGACAUGGAUUUAUUGGGGAUGGAUGAAGAAUUCGUACCUGGUUCUCCAUGAGAAAACCCUAUGCAAUCGCCGAGAGGGGGUUUUCUCUGAACAAGCAGACGAGGGAGAAGGGGAUUCAGGCCCAGUGAAAUAUUGUCGCUUCGUCCAUCCAGCUUACUGUUAAAGCUGGAAAGGGGGGUGUCUACCGUGCAGUUGUGCACUCUAAUUUGUGCAUAUGGCAUGUGGACCCCAUUGCCGGUUGCCCCACAUAUCAGCGAAAGGAAGUAGAAAGACAGGAGUAACUAGUUACAUAUAAAUAUAUUUUUGAUAGAGAGAUACUCCCUGUGUAAAGAAAUAUACAAAUCUUUUACAUCACAACUUUAUACAUAAGAAAAAUCAAGGGGAAUAUAUAUAUAACAUAUAUAAUUAUAAAAAAUAGAGUUGUUUUUAACACAGUAUAGACGAGUUGGUGAUGAUGGUGUGCCUGCCAUCCUGCAAUAUAGGCCGACCGAUUUAUAUCUAACGAAUAGGAAGGAAACUAUGGCAAUUUUGCAAAAAGGUACCCACACACCUCUCCACAUUUGCAAAUAAGGCCUUCCCACGUUCAUCCUUUUCUCUCACAAGAUAAAAUACUCAUAUAAAUGCAUCUUGAUGUUACGUGCAAUGCACGGGCAUUAUGGGGGUUCAGCUGAGAAUAUAAUACUCAGACAGGCUCAUGGUUCUGGACUUUGGGCCGCAGGCCCACCUUGCAUGUUUGGGGGCCCAUGUGUUCUACCUCAGCGCUUUUCAUGUUGCAAGCGAUCGGUACGGCGCUGGUUUUAGAUGAUGUCGCAAGGCGAAUACAUAAAAUUGAAUAAAGCACGGCAGCUGUUGGAAUGAAAUCGAACGACAGUUCCUAACCAGCAAUGAGAGUUGCAACUCUCUCAACGAUAUACCAUGUGAUAAAUAAUAUUGUCGUACUACUUAUACACAAAGGACACUUGUUUCACCAUGCCAGAUUAUUACAUCAAAAUCUCUCGGAGGAUAGAUCAGUUCGGCAGUUGUGUGCUGCUACUGAAAAAUUUCAAAGUUGAUUUGGACCAGCUCUCCUUGCCGAGAAAGUUAGAUUUUGACAUCAUCCCCUACCGCAAGAUAUGAUUUAGAUUUGAACCUUGACCAUCCUUUAGCAUCAAUCAUCAUGCGACCAUCCUUUGUACUUAUGGUAUAUUGAGCAGGUUCAUUCACACCAAGGCUGCACAUGGUAAGAGAUACUUGGCCGCGGUCGCCCGGAUUGUUGAACGACUCCCUCGUUGCUCUAGGAAUUCUCUAUUUGCAAACAAGAAGACAUACCCAAACAGUUAGAUCAAAACAGUGAAUCAUGUGAAACAACAUGGAAAGAAAAAAGAACAAAGCACUUGGGCGGCCAAUGCUUACCAAGAAGGUGGACAUGUCGGUUUUUGUAAGGACUUUGGUAUGUGAAGUGCGAACUGCAGCCCACUCUGUUGCCGGUGCAACUGCUCGUUUGGUUGCCGCUACAUGGGUCGGAGCAGAUGCAAGUACAAGUGUUGGUGCAGGUGCCGAAGCCACCGUUGCUGCAGGAGAUGGUCCUCCUUGUAGAGCUGGUGCCGGUGUCGGAGCAGGUGCUAGUGUCGAUGCCCGAUCCUCCGGUAGAUCAGACUGAUCCGCUGACGCGGUCGGUGCCCAAUCCUCAGCUGGAUCAGACUGAGUUGUUGCCGCUGUCAGUGCUAGAACAACUGCCGGUGCUCGAUCCGUUGCUGAAGGUGGUACCGAUGUGCGAGACAGCGGCAAUCGUGUCUGGUCUGCUAUGAUCAGCUUUCUAACUUGACUAGGAUCCGUGACCGUGAUCCAGUUUUUUUCUUCAUUUCUUUUAAACGCGAGAAGGACUAAUUGUAGCAUUUUUGUUAAACCAAACUGCAGUUCAUCAUAGGGAUUCAGCUUGUACUAAGACAACAGACUGAUCUAAUUUUUUCUAGUUAUAUAAGUGAUGGACAGUGCCUUCAUUACUGACACGACAUAAGAAGUGAAACCUACAAAAAAUAGCCAUCGUAGAGCAAACCAAACGGUUUAUUUUGUGAUGAAUGUCACAUGGCAAAACCUGCAUCGUAAAAUUGCAAGAAAAGAAAGAAAACAUGACAUUAAAUCAAUAAUAUUUAGACAGCAAAUCAAUAAGAUUUACUUGAUGUGACAUGAGUGAAUCCUUACCAGGAAAUCACUAUGUUGAAGUACUAAACAGAAGAUUGAUUGUCCAACUACGGGUGGCAUGCAGGGGCCCCGCCUACUCCCACAAGCAGGACAGUCCGAAGGUCGUGACAAAUCGUAUGGACCGAACAUCCAUGGGACUAGAAAUCCUAGUGGGUGCGAUAAACCCUGCAAUGCAUGCCAAUAUUGGAGUGUAACCAUAAUUGAUAAACCGUCCUCACAAAAAAGAUGAUCUGGAUACUUCAAAAUAUACAGACUGAAUUGAGUGGACAGACAUUAACAUAGACCGUUCUCAGGACUGACCACACACCAAAAGCGGCAGUACUAAUAAACAAUACAGGGUUCACAAACACAAAUCAAGUACUGAACAAUAGUACUUACUAAAGACAAGCAAAGUUGCACUAAUUAAACUCUGCAGACUAUUUCUUGCCACCAACCUAUGGGAUGAACCCCGCAUAACUGACUAGGCCAUGGACUUCGUGAGAGAUGUUUACAUGCACCAUCACCAUGUCAUCAACCUUGGAGAACCUAACAGAGUGGUCUUUCCACUCAUAAACAUGAUGAUGAAGAUAGGCUGCAUCAGAUUUGUUGGGAAGCUUUACAAGAACCACACCCUUCGUAAUCGAGGCACAACUAGGAAUUUUUUGUGGUCAAGUGUAGCCUCGAGAACACGCCUGACAACAAUGCUACAGGAAAACACUAGUCCAGGACACAUGGCGACAAGGACAUAGCAGCUGGAUAGUUUAGCAGUAGAACUCAUGCCCAGGUCUUCCAGUUCACACGGCAUGACUUUGAGAACUUCAUCUCCACCGCGGACCUGGUUCUAAUUCAAACAGAAACCAUAUUUUAUUACUACCUCUGUUCAGAAAUAUAAGAUGAUUUUCGAUAUUAUACUCCAUAUAUGACUACAUAUACGCACAGAAAUGAGUGAACAAAGACACUAGAACAUGUCUUCAAAGGCAUGAGAGCAGAGGGAUUACCUGCAGUAUCCAUAACACAAGUUACUGAGGCAAAUAUACCCUCUUCAAAGGUAGCAUUGAUGUUCAUAAAGUACUCCCUCCGUCCCAAAAUUAUUGUCUUAGAUUUGUCUAGAUACGGAUGUAUCAAGUCAUACAUACAUCCGUAUCUAGAAAAAUCUAAGACAAGAAAUUUGGGACAGAGGGAGUAGUUGAAAGUAAUCUAUAAGAAAUCAGUGUCAACCUCUCGCAUGUUUUGGUCAAAAGAGGAAUUUAGAACUGUCAUUUGGCACACUAAAAUCACAUGCAAGAUCACCCAGAAAGUUGUACUACCAGUACUAGUACUGCGUGUUAGAUGAAAAAACACGAUCAAGAUCGAGAAAAAGAUCGUCAACAAGAGACAUUACCUGGACUUGCCUAAUGAGGGAUCUCGGAGAGGGGGGCUUGGAUAGGGCGAUGGCUUUGAGCUUGUCUACGGUAGUCUCGGCGGGGUGCUUGCGCUUCUUUGUACCAUGAGCCUCGAUGGUUUUGGCCAGAGCCAUAGAAAUCACGUCGGCCGGUGCUCCAGUGUCCAUCCAAGAGAGGAAGCUAAGAGAGAAGAGUGAAAGGAGGAACGAGAUGAGGGAGAAGCGAAGCGAGUGGGGGUUUUCUUCAAGAGAGGAAGCUGAGACAGAAGAGUGAAAUGAUGGUUGCUUCGUCCGUCCAACUUACUGCUGGAAAGGAGGGGGUUUUGUGAUUUGAUGGCUCAUUGGGCAUUACUGCAGCGCUUCAAUCAGGGUAGUCUACCGUCACUCUACUACAGAGUAAUUUAGUGCAUGGCUGGUGGACCCAGGUGCUGGCUGUCCCACACGUCGGCAAAAGUGAGUAAUUUAGUACAUGGCUGAAGGAGGAUCUGCACGGUAGAGUGUGUCCACUAUUUUUCUGAAGAAAAAAAAAUGAUUGCAGCAAGCAUUUCCACUCUUACAACGGAGGAGUGCGAAACACUGCAGCCACUUGAACAUACACAAUGCUCCUACUACUAUUAUGUGCAGUGGUUCAUAUCUCAGUACUACAUAAUCUUCUUGCUAGUGUAGUAAGAUAUGACGAUAACAAAUGAUGUUGUGCGCAUGUCAACUAUAUGUAACAUAGUACCGCUUUUUCGACUGUCCGGUCGAGAAUCAACGGUGAGAUCAAUGUUAACAGAACUAGGCCUACAGUGCACGGAGAGUAUGGUGCUACAGUACUCCAUGAAACAUGAACCAUAUGAAGCACGAAUAGUGUUAGGCAGGGUGUAUGAAGGGUGCACGGGAUGGGAGCAAAAGUUCCCUUCUCGACCCACUUUUGGGUGUUUGGCAGAGUGCAUGAAGGGUGCAUGAGUCCACACUAGUAGGUUAACAAAAAUACAUGAAGAGGAAACAACUAUAUUGAGAUGAGAAUGCAAGCAUACACACCCACACGCUUUGUGCAACAGUGACUGAUCUGCACCGUCUGAGUUUGAUCCAAUGGUCAUGUUGCGCCGAGACAUGGACCCAUGCAGAGGGUGCCUAAACACCACCGAAGUCCCUCUGCUUCUCGAGGCGCACGACGUUGGUGAUGCAGGGUGCAACCGCCCGCAGAGCCCGCUCCCAGUCGAUGGGAGACAGCUCGUCAAAGACGGCGUCCAAUGGCACGAAUGGAUUCCGGUGACGGAGCCCUGAAAGGAUUCGCCCGGCAAUGGAGACGGCAGCCCGCAACCCCUCCUUGUCCAGCUCAGCCCCCACCAUCGCACGGAGAUGGCUCAGCUCCUCAGAGAUAUAGGUGAAGAAGGAGACCAGGUCAGGAAGCCGCAACUUGUUGAAGUCGACCGUGUGGUCGAACGGGUUUAGCACGACGGCCGGCAUCGUCGCGCUGGCACGACGGUAGGCAUCGCGCAGCCGCAACACGUGCGUGGCAACUUGGUUCACCAAGUGGCUGAGGCAAUCCUGGACCUCGUCACGAUUGGCCCGCUCGCGCUCCAGCUGGCUCCCCUGACUGCCUAUCGUAUCUCCCGCUUUCUGUAGCAACGCCGCUGAUGCCUCGAGCAUCUUUGUGGUGGAUGCCUGCCACUUUUGAAGCUUUGUGAACUCCCGCACAUAACGGAGAAGCAUGGCACUCUUCUCCUCCUUGAGCUCACGGAGCUCCACGUCCUUCGCCCUGAGCUCCGCAUCCUUGGCUUGGAGCUCCUGUGUCAGGCGCCUCACCUCAGACUCCGUGAUCUGCUGCGCCGCCAUGGCACCAGGUAGAAGCAGGUCCGUAGAAGCAAUGGGGAGAGCAAGCAAAGGGGGCGAAACGGCUGAAAGGCAAUGCAAUCUACGGGAAGGCGGAGGGAGUCAGCCGAGGAGCGGGGAAUCUUUUGGUUUUCACCAUGGUAAAACACUAGUCGACGACUUCUCACAUCAGGAAGCAGUGGGUUUUACAGGCGGAGUCAUCGUGACUAAUUGCUGCCGCGCCUGCUCCCAUCAAUCAAAAAAUUAAAAAUCUUGUCGCGCCUGCUCCCAUCAAUCAAAAAAUUAAAAAUCCUGCCGCACCCAAACACUAGAGCAAUGCCGCGGUGGAUAUCUAAAUUUACCUGCCAGCAAGUAGAUUAAAAAAGGGGUGAAAAAAAAUGUGGCGGCGGCCUAGCUAAUCGGUCGAACUAGCCCAACUAGCUAGCCACCGUGCUUCACUGAUGUACUCGGCGGGAAAGGUGGUCUUUCGUGAUUUGAUGACUCAUUUACUUGCUUCGGUGCGACGACCAAGGAGGACCCAGAAAAUGCGCGGUAGGGCAUCCCACAUCACGAAGAAUAUAUGCGUGCACCACCCGGGAGGACCCCGAAACCGCGCGGUAGGGUGUGCCAUGUCUCGGCACAGAGGAAAAAUGUGCGUGUAAAAAUAUACUGUAUCAGACGUAGUACAUAUGGUUUGACCUCGGGACCCAGCCAGUCGGUCGAAAACACCCCACUAGCCACACAGCUUCAUCAUGCAAAUGUGGCACGGAGGAUAGAUGUGGUUAGCUCCUUCUCGACCAGCCACAAUGUCUCUUGUUCUAGGCGAUUCUUCUAUUUUCCAAGCUUUUUUUAGUUGUAAUAACACCACAGCAAGCUAGCGCCACUCUUCGUGUGUGUCCGUGCAAAGGUUGGACGAUGGAGAGAAGAGAGAUUGAGAUCGCAGACCUGGGACCCACCAGUAAGUGAGUCAACGGUCAUGCACGUGUUGACGAGGCACUCCCUCUACCCUACUCAACGUAAUACUAUAUAAAAACAAGUUAUGGGACAAAGCCAACAACCGUUGUUGUUUCAGGCUAUCGACUUACACUUUGUAGUCCAGGUUGCCAGUUCAAAUCCCGUCUUUCAGAUUUGUUAGUUUUAGGUACAAAUUUGAUUAAUGACAAGUGGGACCCCCGUGUGUUGUUCCGAUAUUUCAGUGUAGGAUAGGUUUUUUGAACAAAUACUUUGCGCGGUUAGACAAGUAACGGCACGAGUUACACGUAUUUUACAAGUUUACGAACAAAAAUGAUAGCGGCAUAGAAUAUCACAUCCACCCCGUAGCUUAGAUGCUAUGGUGAUACGAGUUUUUACACCGUUGGAAGUGAGAUCCAAUGGCUUGGGAGUAGUCUUUGUAAUUAUGCGCAAGUUCCAAACUCUCCAAAGGUUUUUUUGCAAAUAAAACAUUCAGGCCAUGUGUGUGCCACUGCAUCUUCGAUCCAACGGCUCCCCGUUGCUCAUAGGUGCUCCCCAUAGCUUAAUUACCCGCUACAGUGAUAUGAGCAUCUAGGUCGUAUGAUCAGUGAUCAGAUGGCACAUGCGUAGUACUUGCACUUUCUGCGCAUUUCCAAACUCUCUCAGCCGUAUAUUGCAAAAACAUUCAAACCUCCUACUGUGGGCCGUUAGAUCUCAGUGAACUCAUAUCACCAUAGAAUCUAUGAUGCGGGAGCACCUCAUAUUCUCCCGUGCGAGAAAACAUAAGGUGCUAUCGCAGCUUGGAUGCUACAGUGAUACGAGCUUCGAGGUCGUUCGAUCUGAGAUCCAAUGGCAUCUCAGCAGUCUUUGUGCUUGUAAGCAGUGGCCGAACUCUUUUGGGGCUUUUCUGCAAUAAACCAUUCGAACCACCGAGGAGGUGUUGGGUCACAAAUCCAACGGCUCCGAAGAGCUUGUAUCACCAAAGCAUCUAAGGUGUGGUAGCACAUGAUAUUCUUACAUACAGGAGAAUAUGAUGUCCUCCUUCAUCUUAGAUGCUACGGUGAUACGAGAUUCGAGGUCGUUGGAUAUGGGAUCCAAGGGCAUCUGAGUAGUUUUUGUACAAAUUGUGUGCAAUUCUCAAACUCAUCAAUGUUUCCUGUAAAAAAAAUUAAGACACAUCAUGUGAGCUGCUAUAUCUCAGAUCUACAAGCUCCAAGCAACUCGUAUCGGCAUAUAGCAUCUAAGGUAUGGGGGCACGUGAUAUUUUCUUGGGGAGGAGGGGUGGGGGUGCACAACCAAUUGGUGGUUGGGAGGGUGGGGACAAAUAUAAUCUAAACAACCCUAAACAGAGCUCCACAAUUUUAUCUAAGGUCGAGGGGUUGACCCCCGACAAUCAUAGCUCCGCCUAAACACAACAUUUGCAUGUACUGUAGUACUAGACUUAAUAUUCAUGUUUCAGUUUCAUGUUUAUUUGAAAUAUUGAACGGAGGACCAUGAAUGUCUUACAUUUUACUUCCUUUUUUUCCUAAAUAUUAGUCUCUUUAGACAUUUCAAAUGGACUGGCACAUACUGAUGUAUAUAGACAUAUUUUAGAGUCUAGAUUCACUCAUUUUGCUCUGUAUGUAGUCAAUUGUUGAACUCUUUAAAAGACUAAUAUUUAGGAAUAGAAGGAGUAUUUUUGAAUUCAUGUCAUACAUGCAUGGUUUGAAAAAAUAGAUGCACUAUACUUAUUGGAUUGUUGUUGUGUUCAUGCGUGUGUGUCUUUGUGUGUGUGUGUGUGUGUGGUCAUAUACUUUAUACAUACAAAGUUUUCUCAUCUCCAUAUUUUUCAUCUUUUAAAUUUGAAUUUGCAUUGGAAAACUUACUAGGGAUACCAUGAAAUGUGAAAUCCACGUAGAGAUCACUAUAUCACAAACUCACUCUAAUUCAACAACUCGUCAUAAAUCAAUUACCAUGUUGAGAUUAGUAUUUGCAAGGAAAAUACGGGCAUUGUAAUACACAUAGAUUUGUUCAGCAAUUUAAAAGGUUCUUUCCGUAUUCUCGAAUGGUAGGACCCAACGGCGUACUAGCCAGACCUUGGCUCUUGUUGAUCCUAAAAAAAUAAUAAUAAAAAAAACCGGGCUCGUGUCUUUCGGUGGCGUGCAUGGUACGCACAUUAGGCAACCCUAACCAGCCGAGCCUCAGCGUUUCAAGUCAAAAUAUCUGGCGGCCAGAAUUCCAGCCCUAGGAAAUUCCCCUCAUGUCCCCGGUCCAUAAUGACUACCGAUGAACAACAAAAGGAUGCUUUAGUAACUAGACAACGUUAGCUACCGUGCCGAGCACGGUUCAAUUCCCUCGGUCGCCGCUCGUCAAGGUCACCCGUCAACUGCAUUGCCUAGUACUACUACUACUACACCAGGAUGAGCAUAGAAUUGAGCCCAUUUGUUCGUGCCUAGUACUUGAGUUAAUAUAUCAGGUAAUGGACUGGUACGGAGGGAUUAUCCUUUUACUCUGCAUAUAUAACUUGUCUGAAGUCUAACUAAGCAAAAUGGUUGACCAAAUCCUUUCUUAAGAAAUACAACAGGACAAAUGUAUGGCUUGAAAUUUAUUGCAUGAUGCAGGUUAUGAUAUUGUUUCGAAUCCUGGAUCUUAAAUUUCAGAAAAUCCAAAAGUGGGCAUAAAUUCUUGAAACUGAGCAUGGUCACGUGAUAUGGCACAAAUAUUACUUCGUAAGUUUUUCUUCAAUUUGAGACAAGCUGCUUAUGACAAGUUGCACAAAUGAAGAGCAAAGGUAUUUUGGAACAAAGACCUGUCACAUUAAGGCGAACGCUUUCACUAUUGAAACCAUGGGCGUUUACGUGCCGCCACGAGUCCCCGCUUCUCAUCGGCAGGUGUCGUCCGAGCAAGCAUGUGAGUCGACAAGAGGCGUGCGAGAAGACCGCUACGCCUGCUGACAGGGAGGCAUGCGAGCAGACACUGCGCCGGCUGACAGGGAGGCAUGCAAGCAGACCACUGUGCAGGCUCACCGGGAGGCGAGCCCUUUGACCAGGCUCCGCUGCCCACCUUCGUCCCAACUGCUCCCACUUUUAAUGUCGCUAGUGCCGCAGUUUAAAAUCAACCCCGCAUUACCCGGUAUCGCUACAAUCUUCUCUCUUCCUCUCUGAUUCUCCUGUCGUCUACCUCCAACUAGCCUGACCUAAACGUACGCCAUGCCGCAUCACGAUGGUCUGCCCUUAGUCUUCCAGUUUCUUGAGGAAGACACCCAGCCGGAGUCUCAAGAACAUAAGGCGCUUUGGGACGAGCUUGAACUGGCCUUGCGGGAAGACACCGCGCCUGUCCCAGCUCCCGUUCCGGCUCCCGUCGCCCCGACUUCGCCAGCACCCAUCCCCGUGGCAUUGAUGGGAUGGGAGGUGCACAUUGUCGCCUAGCUUGAUCCCACGGGGUUCCACGAGGUCCCCGCCGAUUUUUCACGCGCCCGUGCACCUGCCAGCGCAUGCGCUUGCGCGUGCACUGACGUGCACGCCUGUGCCGGUGCCCGUGCACCUGCCAGCGCAAGCGCUUGCGCGUGCACUGACGUGCGCGCCCGUGCCGGUGCCCGUGCAUACGAAUGUCUCCCCCGUGCCAUUGACAGCGCCUGUCCCCGCGCGGGUGCCAGUGCCCCCCUCAGCGGCAUGGAUGGCCGCAGUCGACCGCUUCCUUGCACCAACGCGACUCGCCUCCUCCUGCCAGUUGACUUGCUCUGAAGUCCAGAACAUUUUGGCCUUCCUUGAAGCUAGGCCAACAUCCAGGAGUACGCCAACAAUGGCGCAAGACGCCGCCGUCGCCGUCGGUCAGUGGCCCGACGACACAUAGAGCACGGCAGAGGAGCCGCUUCCCACCGCAAGACGCCCCCACCGCCGCCGUGUAAUCUAAAUUUGCCAUGAAAAACGUUCGGAUUGCCAUACUUAAAAUCCGAACGUUUAUCUUUUCCGUUUAUUUUAUAUUGAUCAUCGUAUAAUUUAAAGUCGGAGUCAGACUGCACGAAAUCUAUGGUUUGAUCGAUUGAAUGUUUCGCUAGAGCCGUAUCAAAUUAAAUAUAAAACGUCAUCAAGCCACAUGUAUUCCUUGUCAUCCAACAACCUAGACUGCUUCAAUGUCGAGCGCUCAACACGUUUAUCGUGCAGUUAAUUUCAUGCCAAAAAUAGUGCUAAUCACAUAAUAACACGCAUAUAAUAUCCUACUUAAUAUCCGCAUGCACUUAAUAUACUUCCAAAUUAACGUGCAUUGCACGUACACACUGACUAGUGUUGCUAGUACGUGAAACUGGUGCCGUAACUUGUGAACACGUCCAGAUAUGGUCAACGGCAACAUCGCCCGCGAGUUCUUCAUGUUUGCCCGUGCGUCUAAACGCAGAAGGGGAGGAGAGAGAGAGCACACAUGGAACCCACCAGUAAGUGAAGGCGAAUAGUACUAAAAUAAUAUUACAUGUUAUCCAUUAAAUAGGCUGUGGUAAUAUAAAAACAUUAUCUGAACAAAGGGGAGUACAACAAACAUUGUUGUUCUAUGUAUGUUGCCUAUUGACGUGCGGCUUGAAGGCCCUGGUCGCAUGUUCAAUCUUCAUCCUUUAAUAAUUAAUUUGUAUAUGGGUCCAAAUUUGUUUCAUGACAUGUGGGCCCCUCGGUGUGUAGUUUGUGGCACUUUAAUUUGUGGGUCGAAAUUUGUUCCAUUCCAAGUGGACUAUCAGUGUGUAGUUUUGUAGCUUAUUUAUAAUAAUUAAAGAGAACAAUAGAGUUUUUGCAAUAAUACCAUGGUGCAAAACUGAUGGUGAGAAAGGACAUGCGAGAGAGCGAUGACCGAGCCAGAGGGAAAUCAACUAGGGGAGUUGCGGGGGUUGCAACGGUGUUUGGAGUAGUUGUGGGCUGAAUGCUACGAAAAUAUAAUCUAAACCGACCGGAAUAAAUGCCUACACAAAUUAAUCCAAGGUUGGAGUGCCCCUCGCAAUGUAAAAAACCGCUGCUUUGCGAGGGAUGGAGAGGUAGCUUCAAUGCGUGGAAGAUACGGUGUGAGAAAGAGAGGUCAAUAGAGAGACAUAUAGAUAGAGAGACAAAGUGAGUCUGCACUACAAAAAAAAUACACUUCCAUGAUGAUACGUGUUUGUCACAGUAGGUCGCGUUUUUUGUCAUGCAUGUACAUCCAUGAUGAUUUUAUGACAGAAUCAAGAUAGUCAUACCUGUGAUGUCGUAGAAGUGUUCCAUGACAUUACCAAAAUUAUUAUCACGGAAGUGUCCACUUCCAUGACGAUAAAUCACGCGUCACAGAAGUGCUUUCGUCAAGGGUGACCGACACAUGGCAUCCACCGUAACGGAACGCUGUUAAGCUAUCGGGUCGGGUUUUGGAUCCGAUAACCCGUUAACAGCCCCGACCAAUGGGGAUUUUCCACGUGUAAAAUCAUCAUUGGCUGGAGGAAACACGUGUCGGCUCAUCAUUGGGACAGAUGUCAUCCACUCACUAGACAGAAGGCGCCUAUGAUACGUCGACACGUGGCACGGCCCAAUAGUGGCCCAUUCCUGUGAAAAGGCCGGCCCGUUUGACUUGGUCAAAAGCUGGCGGGUCGGCCCAUGGAAAGCAUGUUAUCGACCUGUUAGCAUAUAGCCCAUUUACAGCCUGCUAACCCAAGGCCCGUUACGCCCUAUGCGAAUUAGGCCCAGUAGCGUCAUCUGGGCCAUCCAAUAUGAUUCCAGCCUGUUUUCAUUUCUUGCCCAUGUAUAGCCCAUGACGUCUUUCGGCCCAUAUGAGGCCCUUUGUAACUCUUGGCCCAUUAGCGGCCCAUGCUGAAACUGGCCCGUAAUGAACAGUGUAUUACUUUACACCCAUUAAUGGCCCGCGGUGAAACUGACCCGUAAAGAACAGUGUAACACUUUAUACCCAUUAACGGGCCGUUAUUCCGUUGGGCCGUUUCCAGCCCAUGUUAACUUUCGGCCUUCUGAGGGGCCAUUUAUUCUUGGGCUCAUUUGCAGCAUUCGGUUGCUUAUGGUCCGUUACUGUCAUUUUCUGCUUGUGGGCCAAAUUCAGCCCGUCGUUACAAGUUGGCCCGUUUGUGGACCGUUAGUUUGUUGGGCCAUUUUCAUAGCAUCACCAAAUACGGCCUAUUAACGGCCCGUUAUGGUCAGCGCAUAAAACGUACAGUUUCCAUUAAAUGCCCGUCUACGGCCCAUUAAAGGCCCGUACAAGACCCAUAAAUGAGUCGGCGGCCCAUGGAUCCUACGAGACGUAGAAGGCCCAUGGAUCCUAUGAGACGUAGAAGGCCCAUGGAUCCUACGAGACGUAGAAGGCCCAUGGAUCCUACGAGACGUAGAAGGCCCAUGGAUCCGAUGGCCCGUACAUGGCCCAUGGAUUCGACGGCCCGUGAAGGGCCAUGGUCGGGCGAGUUGGCCCCCGUUUGAACCAUAUAGCAUAUUCAAAGAAUUAUCCUACUCAAUACUAUCACCUCUAAAAAGCAUACACUAUACAACAAAGAGAUCAAGGCAUAGAAAGGUAGAAUAAUCCUACACUAUACAAUAAAGAAAUUACAGCCGAUUAUACCCACUGGGCAUUAUGGUUCGGCAUAGGUGAUAAUAAAGCAUACACAAACAGCAAAUUACAUACACUAGGCAAAUACAACUCAUACAUCAUGGACGCGCAUCCACUUAACUCCAUUUGAACUAUAAUCUCUUCAGGAAAUAGGAUUGGCCGGAUUCAGAUAGCACAAAUUUCAGUCUGCAAAAUCUCCAAUUCCUUCAUGGUUACCUCGAUGUCUUGUUUCAUUUUUUGACUCCUGCAUCUAAUACCUGCAUGUCCAGUCUCAACUUAUUGAUUAUACGUUGACAAUCAUGUACACGUUGUCUUGCCACCUCUAGUUGAUGAUCGAGAACAUCAGCACAUUCCAAUUCCAAUCCAUAAUCAUUUGGUAACGGCCAUGCCGCACUGCUCGCAGAUUUUUGUGUUGAUGUCACUUCAUCCUGAAAUGUUUCUGUAAGUACACAUGACUAGGGCAAAAAUAUAGUUACAACAGUGAAGCGAACAAGACACUAUUUUGUACUACAUGGCAAAACAGGACUAUCAAUAAUGUUACACGUCACUUUCACACAAAAAAUGUUACACGUCAUGAAGCAUAAGCAGGUGAUAUUUUAAAAAUUAUGAAAAAGAUAGUCUGUGCGGCCUGCAUAUAGAAAUCCCUCUUAGCUCAUCAGAGGAGCAUGAUGUUGGGGCCCAAUCGAAAACACAGACAAGUUACAAAUUUAGACAGCACAUUGCGUAUAAGUAAGCAAGCAGUUGGCCAUUCUAUACCUCAAUUAAAGUCUUAGGGAGCAUAAUGAACAGCAGAGGGUUUCAUACGAACAUACUACAGCAGGCAAAACUAUGCAAUCAUUAGCGUAGUAUAAAUUAGAUUGUGAGCCUCAUGCAAUAAUAGUUGGUUAAUAGACUUCAAAGCUUCAGGCACACUUCGGCAGAGUAAUUAAAUGGUAAGGCCUUUAAUUAUGUAAACUAAUAGUGAUACAAGUACCGAACAUCAGGCAUGAUUAUCUUGGCAUCUCAUUAAUUGAGGACAAAUAAAGCAAUUGAAAAGAGAAAAUUAACUAUGCCUGAAACAAACAAGGAAUUGAACUGUUGAGUUGCAUACAGUGACUUACCUUAGCAGGUUGAAGAGGCUCAGCGCAGCUCCUACUUCUCUUGCAAGGCUCCAUCCUAACAUAUUGUACUUGGAAAUCCUCAAUCUUAUCUUCAUUGCACCUCCUCUGCAAGGUGACACAAACUAGUUACUCGUCUCCUUGGAAGAUAAAUAUGCAUAUUUUCCAGUCUAUGAACACAAAAGGAUGAGAUUAUAACAAAACAACACCACAUAAUGAAACAUGCCGCAUCUCUUGCACUUGCACACAAUGAAAUGAGCAUUUACUAUGUCUGCACUAUGUAAAAACUAGGCAUACCUUCGAACUGGAUCUCCAGGUACUCUUGGAGAGCCUACUGUAGUGUACAGCCAAACCUUUAUGUCACCUAUGAGUUAGACAAGGCCCCACUACAGCAUCCCUUAGUGUUUAAAUCGUUGACAAGCUCUGUUAGAGUGUUAGGUCAAGAACAGCAAGUAAUCAAAGCAAACAGUCCUAGUAUGGCUGGCUAAUGCAAACAAGCAAUUGAAUAGAUGUGUGAGCAAAUCUUACAUAUCAAGAAAAGAAGCAAAGAAGGAGGCUUAAAGACCAUCACUUGACUGACCAGAUUUAAGGGGCAUUUAAACAUCAUGUGCAACGUAUGAACUAACAUAAACAUUGCAUAUUCCAGAUUCUACAAUGGAAUGCACAUGUAUUAGGUUAUGCCAUGUAUGAUGAUGCCUAAAUGUACAGAUAGCAGGCAGGAGUGAUUCAUCAUUGCACACACAAUUGAAUUGUAGGUUAAGGGCCAGUUCGAUUCCGCCUUUUCAGGGCAUAUUGUCAAAAUAAGCCAUAAAAGAUGUAAAGAAGUCAUUUUUGAGUUAUGGGCUUGGGCUUAACUAAUUUUGCUUUGGAAGGGGGUGUUUCGGGUAGAACCUCACUAAAAAUUAAAGGGAAGGGGAAUAGUGAAAUGACUCUGUUGUUUGCCUAUAUUACACUCAAAAUGCAACUGCUGACGCCCGUGUCACACCUGACCCUCAAGUAAAAACAAACACGCAAGCAUUCAUUGCCCUGCCCGCUUGCAUCUCCUCUCCCCUUUCCCUCUACCUCGAUCCCCUACCUGCAGCACUAGGGUUCCUCCAGCGAGCCAUUGCCACUGGUCGCAUCUGGCCUGGUCCUCGACGAUGCUAUGUACAGCUAGGCUACAUGGCCGGUGGGUAGGGGCAAAUCUCCCUGGCAUCUCCUCCCUCUGGCGCCGCCCCUCAUUCUCAUGGUCUCCAGCAGCUGCUCCACUAUGGUUCGUCCAACGCACUACUCCGACGGGUGCUACACAACUAUGGCUGAUGCCACACUGCGGCAGAAGGCACCUUAUUCCCCCUCCCCUCCUCCCAGGCCAUGGCCUUGAGGUGCUGUUGAAGGAUGAGCUCAUCCAACAAGGUGAGGAUCUCCUCUGAUUUUUUUGCCAAAUUUUCAUUCUGAUCCACUAUACGAUGAAUUGCUAUGAGCUGCUUCUGCUGCUGCUAUAUGAUGCAUUGCUAUGAGCUGCUCCUGCUGCUGCUAUAUGAUGAAUUGCUAUGAGCUGCUGCUGCUGUAUGAUGAGUUGCUAUGAGCUGCUGCUGCUGCUAUAUGAUGAAUUGCUAUGAGCUACUGCUGCUGCUGCUAUAUGANNNNNNNNNNNNNNNNNNNNNNNNNNNNNNNNNNNNNNNNNNNNNNNNNNNNNNNNNNNNNNNNNNNNNNNNNNNNNNNNNNNNNNNNNNNNNNNNNNNNNNNNNNNNNNNNNNNNNNNNNNNNNNNNNNNNNNNNNNNNNNNNNNNNNNNNNNNNNNNNNNNNNNNNNNNNNNNNNNNNNNNNNNNNNNNNNNNNNNNNNAUUGCUAUGAGCUGCUCCUGCUGCUGCUAUAUGAUGAAUUGCUAUGAGAUGCUCCUCCUGCUGCUAUAUGAUGAAUUGCUAUGAGCUGCUGCUGGUAUAUGAUGAAUUGCAGACUACUGCUGCUCUAUGAUGAGUUGCUAUGAGCUGCUGCUGCUGCUAUAUGAUGCUUUCAGGUGGUGCUGCUAUAUGAUAAUAACCAGCCACUUGGACCAUCGAAUUUCAAUAAAUAAUUGUUCUUCAUUUAAAUGUGGGUCAUGCAUUCUCGUUUAAAUUAGGCAAUGGGAUCUCUAUGGAAAACAUUGACCAAAGUAGAUUGUGCCAAGUAGAUGGUAUCUUUGUAUUUGCAUUUUGAGCAAAUAGUGAUGGUAUGUUUUCCUAUCAUAUUAAUUACUGCACUGGAUUCAAUUUGUGAUGUUUGCAAGUCAAAUUAAUUUCCAUAUGGGCAGCAAAAUGAAAAAUAUAUAAUGCAAUCUAGACUUUCCACUGAGCAUACCAAGAUAAGCUGAAAACGCAAUGAAAAGAACUGGUUGGCUUAUUACAUGGAGCUUAUAUUCACAGGUGCUUAUUUUCAUAGGAUAACUCGUAAUAAAUAUCCCUAAGAAACUUGGCUAAUAGAACUGGCAUACAAAUAACAUGUCACGAUGAUUGCAAUGGAGGAGUGACGUACCAUAGCACACUGUAUAGGCUCACCGCUGCCUCUCCUUUUUUUGCGAUGUUCCAUGAAAUUGCCACAUACAUCUUGUACUUUUUCAUUGUGUAACCCUAUCUGCGAGUUGACACGGCUAAUUUCAGACAUCUCUACAUGAUACUGCAUUGCAUAUCCCUUGCACAUAUUUAAACCACCAAUUAACGAUUGUGUGCGUACCAUAAACUAGCCAUGACUCUGUAUGCUAGACUAGUAGGCACUCUAAGGGAGCCUAAUGUAGUGCACUGGAAUUCCUACAUGCCACCUACGAUUUUGUGUAAUGUACUGCCCCUGUUCCUAAAUAUAUGUCUUUGUAGAGAUUCCAGUAUGGACCACAUAUAGAAGUAUAUAGAUGCAUUUUCAAGUGUAGAUUCACUCAUUUUGCUCCACAUGUAGCCUAUAGUGGAAUCUCUAGAAAGACUUAUAUUUAGGAACGGAGGUACGAGGUAGUAUCAUGUAUGACAUCUACAUAUCUAAUUUAGCAGCCAAUAGUAGAAAUCAUUGUCUGCACAAAGGGAUUACUGGUCGAAAAUCCUAGCAAAGCACGCUGGCAGGCACAGAACAAUACAAGAGAGAGAGAGACGCGCUUACAAGAUCAUAGCAAUGCCUCAGUCCAGGAUCUUGGUUGGCCAUGCUGUUAGAUCCAGAAGAAACAUCGUCCUUGUAGUUUUUGCCAGCUGCAUAACAGGUAACAGCGACCGGUUAGUAUAUUUGAAGUACAUCGGGCAGGUGAUGCUGGACGGGUUUAAAGGUGACAAGUACCUAGGCCGUGGCGGGUGCUUGGCAUCUCUCUAGACAGUGGGAAUCAGGUUAGAAAUGUCGAGGGUGAUGAUGCUGCGCUAGCUGUCGGGGUCCGGUAAGGAGAUCUAGAACCGUCGAGUAGGGUGUUUGUGGAGCGGCUCUGGUAGGGUGGACUAUGGUGUGGGCGAAGCGGAUCUGUGGCCGUGGACGAGGGUGUAGGUGAAGCUGCUCCGGUGGUUGGGUUAAGGAUGGUGUCGACGACGCGGAUUUGCGACCGUGGAAGGGGCGUCAGAAGCUUCUCCGGUGGUUGGGUUAAGGAUGGUGUCGACGAUGCGGAUCUGCGGCCGUGGACGGGGCGUCAGAAGCUGCUCCGGUGGUUGGGUUCAGGGUGUUGUCGAUGAUGCGGAUCUGCGGCCGUGGACGGGGCGUCAGAAGCUGCUCCGGUAGGUUGGAUGAGGGUGCGAGGAAGCGGAUCUGAGGCCGUGGACUUGUGAGUUGGCAAAGCAGCCCCGGUAGGGUUGAGAAUGGUAUAGGCGAAGCUACUCCGGUAGGGCUAACGAUGGUGUCGGUGAAGCGGCUCCGGUAGGGUUGAGGAAGGUGUCGGCGAAGAGGAUCAGAGGCCGCUGACGGGGGCGUCGGUGGGGCGGCUCCGGGGUGUGUGGACAAAGCGUCUCCGGUGGGGAGUACGAAUGAGCCGCUGCAGAUGUGCGGCGGUUGACGAGAGUACCGGCGAAGCAGAUCCGGCACCAUGGACAAGGCCGGCACUGAAUGGGCUGUGGUACAGUGGUGGAUGAGCAGUCUACUUGUUUCUAGGGGAGGUGGGAGGGGUAGAUGCGGCCGCAGAAGCAGAUCCGGCGAGGUGGACUCCGUUGGCAGUGAAUGGGCUAUGGUACGCCGGUGGAUGAGUAGUCUAGGGUUUCGAGAGGGGAGGGGAGAAAGGGCGAUGAAGUACGGAUGGCGUGAUGUAAGAUGCUCUGGUGUUGUGGAGUUAGUUGUUUUUGCGGGAUGGGGAGAGGAAAUGGGGAUGCCGUGUAGUGGGGGAACCAGAAGUUACCAAAGCAGCCCCGACCUACCAUGUAGAUGAGGGCGGUAUUGUAACUAUUGGUCUCCGUGCACCAAGGACAAAAGGGGGAUUUCGCAUGCUAAAGACUAAGGUGGUGGAAAUUUUAGAAGGAGGCAGGAGAUUUUUCUGCCCGCGGGAUCAUUCGUAUCCAGUUUCAACUAAUAUUGGACCGUGCUAGCGGGAAGGUCAUGCUAGACUUUGUACAUGGGGCACGCGUCAGCAGUUCAUAACUGGUGUGAAGUCCACCCCAGAAAAAAGACAAUAACUCGGGAUGAUGCGCCAAUAACUUGGACGUUCACACGGGCGCGGCCAAUCGUACGGGUGUAGUGGCGCGUUCACAAAAAAGGGAUCAAACGCUCAGCCUAUGUAUUUCUCGUGUAGAUAGAUAAUUUAGUGCCAUUGGUUAUUUACUUUAAACAUAAUGCAUUGACAUGUUAGUGUAGAGGCGCACAAAAAGAAAUGGAUAUUGUAGUCAGCUACUUAAAAGUGUUACCUCAUAUGAUUACAUAGCCACCAUUUCAUAAAUUGCGUACCCAUUGAAUUCAUAUAUGAAUAUUACAUAUAUUACUUCAAAAUAGAAACUUAAAUCAUCCAAGACUAAUGAAUUUAAAUGCAAGAGUAACAAUGGUGCAUGUACAUGAUAGCUACAUUGGUUGUUUUGAAGAAACAUCACUGUAACUUUGGCAUGCACAACUGAAAAGGUUUAUUUAAAUAGAAAAAAAUGUGAUAUGUGAGUGUCCAAUCUUUAUAGCGUUGAAUCGAUAUUGUACCUUUGGCCACGAUACGAAGUAGAUAUUGACUUAUGUUCAAGCGAUGCACGUCCACGAUCGCUAGAUAGUGAUACGUGAAUGAAUUGUGCAAUCUCUCUCACACGCAUACAUAUCUCAUUUCCAUGUGGGCAUCGGAAUCACACACGCGCACUUUGUGUAUUUCUCUCCCUCCGUCAGGGUUAAAUUCGUCUUUCUACCCCGUCCUACAAGUCUCUCACACAGAAACACACAUGCUCUCUAUGUCUAACAUGCCCACCCCUUUAAUUCCGCCCACCCACAGCCACUAAUGUCUCAAAGUAUAAUAAUGUCUCUCACACAUAUGCUAUCUACCUAUCCCUUAAUAUAGCUAGAUAUGUGUCACACAAACUCCUUCUGCCUACUAGCAAGAUGCCCAUGCGUUGCACGGAACAUCAAGAUGCAUUUGUAUGAGAAGUUUAUCUUGUGGGAGAAAAGGAUGAACGAGGGAAUGCCUUAUUUGCAAAUGCGGAGAGGGGUGUGGGUAUCUUUUUGCAAAAUUGCCAUAUUUUCCUUCCUGACCGUUGGAUAUAAAUCGGAUGGCCUAUAUUGCAGGAUGGCAGGAACACCAUCAUCACCAACUCUAUUUUUUAUAAGAGUAGAGAUAUGUGAGUGUCACUACCCCCCCCACACACCCACACUUCCCAACACUGAAGGAGUAGGGUGACACCUCGAUCUUGAUACUAAUCUAUCAACUAGCUUCUCUCUCAAACAUACACACACACACACUACCCGGCACCAAAGGAGUAGGGUGACACCUCGAUCUUGAUACUAAUCUAUCGACUGGCUUCUCUCUCAAACAUACACACACACACACACACUACCCAGCGCCGAAGGAGUAGGGUGGCACAUAGAUCUUGAUAAUAAUCUAUCUACUCCUCUUUCAAACACACACACACACACACAGACACACACACACACACUCGCUAGUUGUGCCUCUGUGCCUACCGCGCACACUCUCGAUACGUCUUUCUCUCCCUUCCCCCCCAACAAUGACAGCAGAAGGGUGACAACUCGAUCUGAUCAUAAUCUGUUAAUUGGUUUCUCUCUCAAACAUUGUGUCUCAGUGCCUCGCUCGGUAGCCCCCUCGAUAUGUAGACUUCUCGCGCGCGCACAGCUGUAGUGACGAUGACGCUGAACCCAGUGUGCCUUGUUUUUACCGGCCUCAGGUGAUAGUUUUCACCCUGUUUUCUGUUAAUUAACAAGGCAACCUUUUCUUUGUUACUACUAGUGAAUCUGAAAUCAUUCAGGGCAGACAUAAAAUAUAUCACUUCAACCCAAUUAUUGCAGCAACUAUUUAAAGGAAAUUAGCUAGCUGCCCGUGCGUUGUAUGGAACAUCAAGAUGCAUUUGUAUGAGUAGUUUAUCUUGUGAAAGAAAAGGCUGAAUGAGGGAAGACCUUAUUUGUGAACGUGGAGAGACGUGUGGGUAUAUUUUUGCAAAAUUGCCAUAGUUUCUUUCCUAUCCGUUAGAUAUAAAUCCGACGGCCUACAUUGCAGGAUGGCACACACACCAUCAUCACCAACUCUGUUUUCUACUCCCUCCGUCCAAAAAUACUUGUCAUCAAAAUGGAUAAAAAGAGAUGUAUCUAAAACUAAAAUACGUCUAAAUACAUUUCCUUUUAUCCAUUUUGAUGACUAGUAUUUCCGGACGGAGGGAGUAUUUGCCUUUUAGAGAUUUCAACAAGUAACUAUGACCGGGCCUUACCAACAUACUCAAAAAAGUAGUCCAUAAUUUUGAUGUUACCCUCUUUUCUUGACGGUGCAGUGCCAUCUGGAUACCUCAUAAAUAAAUCAAGGACAAAUCUGACCCCUUCCUGGAAAGACAUACAUAGCAAAAUGAGUGAAUCUACACUCCAAAAUAUGUCUACAUACACAUCCGUAUGUGGUAGUCCAUUUGAAAUCUGAAAAAGACAAAUAUUUAGGAACGAAUGGAGUAUAUAUAAGAGUAGACAUGGAGAUAUAUCUCCAGCAUGGUCUACAACAAAAAUGUGCUGGGCUGGUUAGCGUCGGAUGCUCGCAACGCGAUGACAUGAGUUCGAAUUCUGUCUUUUAACUUUAGAUUUUUAUAUUAUAUAUUACUCUACUUAUUUAAUAUAUACUUCUUUCGCUACUGUACUGACAGUGGAACCCACAGAGUACUUAGAAUAUUAAGGAUGGACUUGUUUCUUUUUAACUUUCUGUACAAAGCUGUAGCCACCCUGCAAGUCACGUGUACACUGUACAUGCAAUUAACUUUUUAUAGAGAGACAAUCAUACAGGCAAUUAACUCAAAUGGAUUGGAUGGCACUCUAUUAUUUCCAGCAUAAAGAGCAUCUCCAACGGCAGCCGGCAAAUUUUCUCCCGCUUCCUUCCGCGGAGGAUGACAUCAAACGCCAGCGGCAUACAUUUUUACAACUCUAACCAACCAGAUGAAAUUCGUGCAAACACAGACUAAUUUCAUAUAAGCAUGAAGGAUUUCAUAUAAAAAAAGCCGGAUCUUCAUAUAAACAUGAUGGAUUUCAUUACAUUUACAUGAACUAAGAGGUGCCAAUCCGGCUCUGUUGUAUAAUUAAUACUCCCUCCGUCCGGAAAUACUUGUCCUAGAAAUGGAUAUAUCUAGACUUAUUUUAGUUCUAAAUGGCUGCCCGCGGAUCCCUUUGUCUUCCUCAUGUCCGCCAGACACUUGCGGGGUCGACGAAGGUCCUCGGAAGAGACGAAGCAGCAAAGAAACCACCUGAAUCCGCGGUCGUCGCCUCGGCAGUGGCCUUCAUGGGUCCCAAGUGGCGGCGGCCUCCCGUGUUCUACUUCUCCUCGAUGAUGGCGGCGGACACGGAGAAGCUGGCCACCGACUCGUCGCUCUCCACGCACUCGGCUUCUGUCUCUGCCUGCAUGGCCCUGCCGCAGGCACGGGAGGCGCGACCACCGCAGACACUGGUGGCGCGGUAUGCCGCGGUAGCGACGGCGCCCGUACCGGCUUGCUCGCCGCCGUGCCGGCAUGGAGCAACUCGCCACUCCUCAUCGAGCUGAACUGGAGCGGUGAGUUGCUAAACCACGCGCCUGCUUGGGGCUGCAACUGGCUCCGUCGGGCCAAGCAAGGUUGGUGAAGCACCGAGCGUCCUCGCCCGUAUUCGGAGGGCUCGGCGGGCCACCCAGCUGGGUAAUAUGCCGGAGAACGGCUCAUCGGAAGCCAUCAGAAGAGUGGAGAAAAUGGUGAAGGAGGAGAUGGGGGAGCGGCGGAGGGGUGCAAUUCUUGCCCGCUGUCUGUCUGGCCUCGUGUAAAUAGAGGGCGGACGGCAGGUGCUUGGCCGACGUCUGGCCUCGUUUAAACUGAGGGCGGACAGGAGGAGCUCGGCCGGUGUUGCAUUUAAUUACGGCCCGCUCAUGAACAGACGUGUGGCCGGAGUAGGAUUCUCGGUUUGCAUGCGGGUUUAACAGAGGGGUUUAAUGGAGGCGUCGGGCGUGCAACGGGCGGUACAGUACUAUUCGAUUUGACAACAGUAAUGAGCCGUCAAAUCACAAAGGCCCUCGUCUCUUGCGAAACCGACCGAGCUAGACUGCCCCGCCCUCUAGCCUUUUAAAAAAUGUAUAUACUCCACUUUUGCACAGUAGUAUCGAUGGAUUGCGCCAUGGAGCAAAACUUGAAAUUAAAAAAAGGUGGUACAUAUAGAGAGCGCUCGUGAACUAUGUGUCAUACAUGGCAAUAAAUAAAGUACUACAUGAUACUAAUAUAUGAUACAUGGCGCAGGAGUACUAAGUAUUAUUAAUACAGUUUUGCUAGAACUCAUCUAGAUGAGAUAUAAUUUGGUCUCAUUCAUCUUUUAUAGCCAUUGGAUGUGAUGCUAUAAGAUGCGUGUGUGCUGACGUGGGUUGUAUUUGUUCUUGUGCAACGAACUGACCACUUCAUGUCAUGUUUGAUAGUCUCAAGUCAUUAAAAGCAUACAAGCCCCACAUCUCUUCUUGGUUGAUUCCUCUAUUUAUGUCAAAAAAUAAGAAAUAACGUGAGAGUUAAUGCACCACGCCUAUGUGUUUACUAUUUGGUUUUCGUAAGAUGACUUAAUACUGACCUAGACGGAGGGAGUAUUCGAUUUGACAGAGGGCGGUGCAGUUCCCAAUAUUGCUUUAAUGCACACGAGGGAGGGAGUAGCGGUCCCGAUAUGUUGAACGGCCAAUGCAUCCUCCUUCAAUUAAUGCAUGAGGGAAGUAAUGGGAGGAGGUCCGGGAAAAGAGGCUGCACGAUGUGAAUGCAACGCAGUUUGCCCUCAUUUCCCUCAUAUAAAGGUGCCCCUCCAUUCCAAUGCAUCUACCACAUCGUACGCACCUAAGCAUUUGCCUAAGCACCUACACUAAGCGCAAAAGAGCUCACUCCAGACCCAUGGCGGCGAUGCGCAUGAGCGGUCAGUGGGUGCACCAGAUGGUCCAGGACGCCGGCCCGCGGCAUGGCGCCGAGGAUCGUCUCCAGACGGUGUUGGAGACCGGCUGGUGGAUGGCCGCCGUCGACGCCAACUACGACUCUCAGUUGGACCAGAUGAUCGUUGCCACCGGCAACAAGUUCACCGUCCUCAAGAAGCUCGCGGACGACAUCACCAUACUCCUCCAGACCGCGCGCCCGGGCUCCUCAUUGCCUGCCACCCUAAUCGGCCUCCAUGGCCGGAACCUCUUUCAAGCACUGGUGGCCCUGGGACUGCCCGCCGAUGCCACGAAGAAUGUCCACCUGGAGGUCACGCUCGCCGCGAGGUGCCUCGCCCUGCAAGAAUUCGUCGACCUACACAUCCACGUGUACGAGCAAAUCGUUCUACAAGGCCGGUGAGCAUGCUACAACGUUGGCCUUCCUCAACCGGCUGGAAGCCUUGGAUGCCUUUGCUGAGAAGCACCUCGACCCUGCCACAAAAGCCGUCGCUCCUUAGCGGCCGGUCGGUGGCCCGACGCACUAAGUUGAGGAGGAGGAGGUCGUACGUUCGUGGAUCCAUCUUUCUUCUUGCCUUUUGUAACCACCACUGUGAUUGCAUCAUCAUGGCCUUAAUUCUUAUUGUGCUGUUGCAUUCUCGUUCCAGUCAAUACCGACAUGUGUGAUCCCUUUGCUUAAUUAUAUGCAUCACUGUAACUAGUACUCCAUCCGUCAAUUUAUAAGUUGUGCUUACCUUUUCCAUCAACUUCGUGAAGCGCGCGGUCAUCUUGCUAGAAACACUAGAAUAUGUCUAUAUAAUCCGUAUGUGAUAGUCCAUUUGAAAUCUCAAAAAAGACAAAUAUUUAGGUACGGAGGGAGUAAUAUAUUACUCCCUCCGUUCGGAAUUACUUGUCUCGGAAAUGGAUGUAUCUAGAACUAAAAUACGUCUAAAUACAUCCGUUUCCGAGACAAGUAAUUCCGAACGGAGGGAGUAGGAGUAUAUCAAAACAAUAGUGAUUUCUUUCAAGUUUGUGAACAAAUACUACUAUUCUAUGACUUUGGAUCCGUCACAACGCACGGGCACAUUGCUAGUAAAAGGAAAAGGCCUGUCGCGUUCGCGUCGCACCCCCACAUGCCCGGGAAUCGCGAGUACAACACGGCCCGUCCCGCACGACACAUAGCUUAGGGAAGGCGUGUUUCCUGGAAUUUUCACUUUCAUGUGGGACCACCGUUGAGCAAACCGACACCCCGCCCGCCGCCGGGUUGGAAAACAGAAACAAGGGGAAGAUCUAGCUGUAGCACGGAAGCCAAGAAAUUUUGUGUCAAACGGGGCUCGUUGAUAGAGUAGGAGCAUUCCGUACUAGUACUACUCCUACUAGUACCAAGUUUGUACUCCUAAUACUAUAUUACUAGUACUACCACUAUACAACUAGUAGGUACGUGCACGGCACAACAUCGUAGGAACAAAAAACGGGAAGAUCUUGUUUUGGGUGAUUUAUCUUUUUUUCAAUCAACGUAGUAUGAAUAAUAUGAUGUGGGGGGCACCCAUGAAGCUUAUGUGGCUUGGUUGCAUGGCUACGGAAGGUUAGAGAAAAAUAAAUAGAUAAUAUGUUUAGAGUGCACUCCACUAAAUAGAUAUACUUUGGAUCCAUUGCAACGGACCGGCACAUCUAUAUCUAUACCCCCCUAUAUAGUGUGUGAAAAACUUUGAAAGUUGGUCGUUGGAUGAAGCCAAUCCGACGGUACAAAGAUGGCAAAUCCGAGCACUACUGGCCGUUGGAUAUCAUCCACCAGAUUCUACCACAUGUAUAAUCUAGAAGACUCCAUGGUUGAACUUAAUUCAUGACUAACAUUGCCACAACUAAGCUUAGGCAAAGUUAUUAGUUCUUCAAAAUGAGAGCCACAAGUUGGCAAGCCUAAGGGAAUCUUGCCAUGUUUUUUGUGUGCAUGUCAUCUGGGGCCUUAGUGUGGCUUGCCUAAGGUGUGUCUUGAACCAAACACUCACCUAAUUUAAUCAAACUUGCCUAACCUUACAUUCCACCAGUUUUUUCCACAUGUUAGAAUCCAGAAAACUCCACAUGUAGAAGCAUAAUGCACAAACCACCAGAAUCUCAUGCGUGCAAUGCACGUGUACCUUACUAGUACUAGUU
rnacentral:lncRNA from 1 species